UUUUUUUUUUGUUAGGUACUAAAAUAUUUUAAAAAAACAAACAAAACAAUUGGGGUCUUGACCUGUUCUAUGACUCAUUACCCAACCUGUUUUCACCCAAGCAAAUUUGGAUUGGGUUUGGUCUUGACCCAUCCAAAUUUGACCCAACCCGCCCAAUUGUCACCCCUUACCAGGCGUGAGUUGGAGGUGAAGCUUACGUGGAGCAAUAAUAUGGAGACGAUGCCGUUAGUAGCUUUAUCUUUGUGUAAAGCCAAGACACUUAUAAAAUGAUAUUGCUAUUGUUACCGAAGGAAAGCAUAAACUAUCUAGGAAAGCCAAACUAAAAUAUCAAUGAAGGUCACGAUUUGAGAAAGUAAUGGAUAUAUAGGAUUGCAACCUUACUUUAAGUCUAAUUCAAUGCAUUGCCUAAUCUCUCACCUAUUGUGUUUAAGACAAUGGCAUUACUUGUGGAUUCUUAAUUUCCCCUUUAGUUUUACUAAUUAACUAGAUCUUAAUUACCCAUUAAUAUCCCGAUAAAACGGGAUGCUAUCCUUGUUAACUCCCUCGAGUUCAACCAAAACGCAUUAAUUUUAUCUAAUUAAGUGAAGGCCUUAUACGUAGUCUUAAUCAUGGUAAUUUAGGCUAUAUUAAUUUAAAUAAUCCAAUUCCUUGUUGUCUUGUUGAUUAAUCUUGACCCAAUAUUAAAUUUCUUCUUCCGAGUUCAAACCAAAGUAAAUGAGUUUUUUCAAGAGUUGAUAGGAAUCAAAGAAUCAAUACAAUACAUAAUUAAUCAAAUAACAAUUAAAGCAAACAUAAUUGGUAAGAAAUAAAUUGCAAAAACAUCCCAGUAUAGGAGAGGGUAGAGUGUAGGUAGACCUUACCCCUAUCUCGUGGAGGUAGAGCGGUUUUUUCCGGAAGACUCUCGACCCAAGUAACGCAUACCAAGGUAUUUUGAAAAGGAAAAUAGAAAACAAAGAAGACAUAGCAAAUAGUAGGGAAAGCAUUACAUAAUUAAAAAAAAUGGAAUAGUAACAACAAUAUAAUGAUGCGAUGUUCAAAAAAAGGAACAACAGGUUGUAACAAAAAUCGAAGGACAAGAAACUACGAGAACAGUGCUAUUACGACUGGUAUGAAACAAAAAACAGUAGGUGAUUUUUUCCAUCUGUCCUAGCCUUGGCUUGGUGGAUAGUUAUUUGGUACGUGUUGUUGGGGAGGUGGCAGGUAUCCCGUGGAAUUAGUUGAGGUGCGCGAAUGUUGGCCCGGAGUCCCGGACACCACGGUCAUAAAAAAAUAAAAUUACCACCAAGCCGAUCCCACAAGAAAUAGAUUAAAAUUUUUAAUAAACAAAGAAGAGUUUGUUCACAACCCUAGUUGUUAAGCUUAUAAGACAACCAUCUUCCAAUCCAUACUAAUCAUCCAAAUCCAAAUAUGAUAAUAACAAGGAUGGGAUUAAUGAUAGAUAUUUUUUUUUUGAAAAACUCUUGAGCAUUGUGUCUUCUUCAAUCCAAUGUGCGGGUAACUUAAAUCUUACUUCCAAGCUCUGAUUUCCAACCAUAGAUAGCUUCCCGAACAUCCAAGAUGAAUAUUUAUAUGAUUGGGAAUGACCUACAAAAUUCUACCAAAAAUACCCCUCCAAUCCUGAUAUCCUUUAGUGCUAAGAUGUCGGGCCAUAGGCUGUGAUAGCAAGUUAGCAACAAUAGCGUAUUCCUGAUUUAGGUCAGGUCUCUUGUACUUUGAUUGUAGUUAGAGGCAUGUGAUCCACAAUGCUGCAUUUUCCAAUUUUGACCAUUCCCUCUAUGCUGUGUCUGACACGUCAGAUUCUUCCAGUUUCUUCUUUUGGCUUAAUUUUCAUUUAUUUUUUCUUAUUGUUCUCCAAACAUUCCCCAAAUUAUGUAAAACCUGAAAAUGCAGACAAAAUCGUUAAUUAUUGCUCUAAAUUCUUAUAUUAAAACACCAAAAUAUUAAGUAAAAUGAUACUUAUAAGUUGGUGUUGGUUAAUCCCAUUGACUUUUGUCCUGUUUCUGUUAAUAAUAUCUGUAUUUGUUCCCCAGUUUAUUGUUUGGCAACAUUGCUCUAAUGCACUCUCUCUGUUAUCAAACUUUAUUUGGGAUAAAGUGCACUAUUCGCCCUUAAUCUGUUGAUCAAACUACUUCCUGAGGUUUUUACUCCUCCAAGCCCCCCAUCCAUUUGGUUUUCAUCUAUUGAUAGAAUAUUCUUUUGUUGUUUUUCUAUCAAAUGAUAAAAUAUUCUUCUUUUGUUCUUUUUUCCCUCCUUGCUUGCUUAUAUUCUCACCCGAGCUUCUCUAGUUUGCUUCUCCUUUUUCCUGCUUCUUGCCACCAUGAUGUGAUGCUUUUUGAAAUGUUAUAGCUGCCGCAAUUUUUCAUGUUUCCUUCUCACUACCCAUUCCCCACUAGCUGUUCAUCUUGCAGAAGCUCUAUCUUCCUCAAUUAAUUUUGCUACUAACAGAUGUAUUAGGGCAAUACCAUUAAACCUGGAGGUCCUUACUCCUAAUAGUGUUUCUACCGGAUCUUACAACUUAAAAUGAUUGUGGAGGAAACUGUGGGCGUGGGAAGAAGCUUACAAAGAUAAAUCUUUUAACUCUGUAGAUUCACUUAUUUAUGCAAUGAUGAAGAAUGGUAUAUCUAAGGGAAAUGAUUUAUUUUCAUGCAUGUGGGACAUGCGUGAUCAGUGAUGAUAUUAAAUAAGAGAAUUUCAGCUAGUUGCAACUAUAGUGUGGUAGCUGGAGAGAAAAUCUUGACUAGUUACUUUGCUUUUACCAUGUAGAUUUCUUACAUCUUAAUGCAGAGGACUUUGAGCUCAGAAGUAUUUAUGGAAGGUCCAUAUCUGUUAAGAAAAGGCAAAAGAAUGAUGAUUAAUCUCUUGACAGAAAAAUAAAGGAAUGAAUGCUAAUGCAUUGAUAAUUCCUCAUCAUUGUUCUAUUUAAUGACAAAACAGUUAUCAAUGUGUUACUUUUUUUCCAUUUCAAAAAAAUAAUACAUUGAUAAUUUGAUUUGUCAUUAAUAGAACAAUUAUUUUUUUGAUGAAGUAAGAUGUUAUAUUAGCAGGGCAUCAAGUGGAUGCAGAGUAGUUACAUAAGAGAGUCAUGAUUAACUCUUCAGAACAAAAACUUCUUUUAUAAGUCAAGAGAGUUAACCAGAAAGCAAAAAAAUGGUCUCUAAACCAUAGUGAGGGAGCUGAUGAAAUCUAAAAGGUGAAUUAUAUCAUUUACGGGGGAUAGAUUGCUCAACUAAAUAGGUUAAAAAGACAGAUUUCAAACUACUGCUAGGAGUUGAGAUGCCAUCAAAACAUCUGACAUUCCUUUCCUUCCAAAAUACACCAAAAAAUACAUCGGGGAGUCAUCUGCCAGGUCUUCUUGAUGGAAUUGUCAACCUCGUUUAGUCUCCAGCUUUCCACUGCUUCUUUGACAUCCUCGGGAAGAGUCCAGUUUAUACCUAUUAGUGAGAUGAACAUAUUCCAAAGAUCUUUUGCCGCUGGACAAAGCAGAAACAAAUAAUUCACUGGCUCCAAGCUUUUGUGGCACAUGAAGCAUCUGGUCACUUGCUGAAACUUCCUCCUAUAUAGGUUGUCGAAGGUACGGAUAACAUUUCAGAGGGAUGUCCAGAUGAAACACUUUGGUGGUAGUUUAGUCUUCCAACUCAGUUUCCAAGGCAAGAGGUCUAUCAUAUCAUUUGAUAAGCACAAUUUGCUGUAUCCAUCCGUCACUGUAUAUAUUCCUUUUCAGAGCUGCCUCAUUUUCCCAUUUAAGUUAUCUGGCAGAUGAGGGGAUAUUGAAGCUCUUUCUAGAACUGAGUAAGUCAAUGAGCUUAUCAAGCUCCCACUCCUGCAUGUUCCUCCUGAAGUGGGGUGGCCCGUAUUCCAUCUUCUCUCUUUUGGGCCACUAAAGAGUCUGGAUCAGAGGCUACCCUGAAGAUGGUAGGAUGGGAGAUGUUGAUUGUUAAGCCUCCUAUCCUUCCUUAAUUUAACUGAGUUGCCAUUUCCAAUUCUAAAGGACACCUCUUGGAUGAAUUCAUCUUUCAAGUUGAUAUAUUGUCAAGUCUAACUCCAUAAGGGACAUUGUUCUAGUUCGUACUCCAUUUGUCUUGCCUCCCAUACUUGACAUUCACUACCUUCCAAAUACUUGUUGGUUCUUGAGCAUACCUCCACUAACAUUUCAUUAACAGAUUCUUGUUUUGCUUCCUUGAAUCUUUGAUUCCUUGUCCGCCUGUUGCUUUAGCAUAAUUACAUUUUCCCAAUUCACAAGAUGGAACUUAUGGCCUUCAUAGUUCCUCUUCCACAAAAAGGAUCUUCUGAUUUUCGUGUUACCUUUGUCAAAAAAAAAAAAAGGAUCUUCUAAUUUUUCAAUUUGAUUUUGUAUCUUGGAAGGCAUUUGGAACAGGGUCAUUGUGUGUGGGGGAAUGCUAUCAAGCAUACUCUUGAUAAGAGUCAAUCUGCCACCCAUAGAUAGAUACUGCAUUUUCCAAGUUGCCAGCCUUUCUCCAUUCUUUCAAUAACUUCGCUCCAGGUUCGUACUUCUUUGAACUUUGCACCUAGAGGGAGACCUAGGUAUUUUGUUGGUAAAGAACCAAUGUCACCGCCCAUAAUGGUAGCCAAUUCUUCCACUUCAGGGACCUCAUUUAUUGGGUAGAUCUUACUUUUCACCAUUUUAAUAUAUAACCCACAAAUUACUUCAAAAAGUAGCAAUGUCAGGUUGAGAUACUGCACCUAAGACUUCUCUGCCGUGCAAAAGAUUAGAGUAUCAUAUACAUAGAGCAGAUGAGACACAGAGGUAUAGUUAUGAACAUUGUUGCCCACCCUGAACCCUUCAAUCUACUGCAUCUGCCUUGCUUGUCUAGUAUCUUGCUAAGACCCUACUUGGCAAGGAUAAAUAAAAAUGAGGAGAGAGAGUUCCCCUGUCUAAUCCCUGGGAGAAGAAACCAACUGGAUAUCUAUUCACUAAAACUGAAUAUUUUAUAGUAGUGAUACUGAAUUUAAUUCACCCCAUACUACUAAGCUUUGUGAAAAUAUAUGACCAAUUAAGCUUGUCGAAAGCUUUCUCGACAUCCAGUUUGCAUAGGAUACCAGAAACCCUAGUUUUUAAUCUUCCAUCUAGAAGUUCAUUUGCAACCAAAGCUGCAUCAGUAAUUUGUCCGCCUUUUAAAAAAACACUCUGCUCUCCUAAUACUAACUUCCCCAUGACUGUCUCCAGCCUCUCUGCUAGGACUAUAGCAAUAAUCUUGUAAACACUACCAAUAUUGCACCCCUUUCUUUUCGGGAAUAAGUGCAAUAAAUGAGGCAUUACAAGACUUCACCAUGUGACAUUGCUGAUGAAAGUGAGAUAUAGCCCCUAUUUUUCGGGGUUGAUCAUCUCCCAUGCUCUUUAGUAAAAUGCCAUUGUGAAUCCAUCAGGGCCAAGGCUUUUGUUGGGAGCACAAGAGUUCAAAGCAUCUAGUACCUCAUCCUCUUCAAAAGACCUUUCUAACCAAGCUUUCUCUGUUAAGAUAUGUUAGCUAAGCAUCAAAGGAUACUUUGGGUCUCCCGUUUUGAUUUUCUCUGAGGUCCUUUUAAAUUUUUGACUUUUGUGCUUCAAACUUCCCAAAUGUAGUCUUAUUCCAAUCAGUGAUGUCUUUCUUCAGUUUCUUCGGCUUUUGAAUUAGAAUAAAAUUUGGACUUUCCUCGAUAUUAUAAUUUGUACUGUCUUGAAUUUAAAAUAGGAAGGUUGGGCUUCCUAGUCUCCACAUUCAAGUAGCAGAGGCCUGUGAUCUAAUAUAACCCUUGGGAGAGCUACCUGUUUUAUAACACUGAAAUUUUCAUUCCAUUAGAGGAAAUCAAGAAUCUGUCUAUUCUUGAUGCUGGCAUGGAGUCUAACCCCUCCCCCACCCCUCCUUAAUUAGGUGUAAUGAGCUCCAAAUCCUAGAUGAUAUAUGAGAAUAUUUCAUUGCAUUGGAUCUUCUGAUGCACUUUAUCUCCACCUAUUUUUUUUUUGAGAAAGAUGAAGUCUCCACCUUUUUUUUUUGACAAAGGUAAAAGAUGAAGUCUCCACCUGUCAACCAUUGUUCAUUCCAUAAGCCUCUAAUUGCUGCAAACUCAUGCCAGAGAUCCUCCCGUUCUGGAUUUGUGUGAGGUUUAUAGACCCUUGUGAAGCACCUUGUAAAAUCCCGUUGUGUACUUUUCAACAUGCAUGAAAUGGUGUAAGAGCCUUGUUGAUUCCCCUGUUUGGCCAUUGCCUUUUGUCGCGCAACACAAUGAUACCCCCACUCCUCCCAAUUGUGUUCUGAGCGGCCCAUCUAACCCAUCUAUUUCCCCACAUUUGCCUAAUCUUUUGAGGUGAUCAUUUGUGAAUCAUUGAUUUGAUUGUACUCCUCUUAUAUGCUUCAUUGAGCCCCAUGCACAUUCCAACUCAAUAUUUCAAUCUUCAUCCAGAAAAAGCCUUGUAGUACCUACCCCCCUAUGUUGCUUGGACUUAGGUGCGGGUAUCCGAGACGGGUGCGGAUAUAGAGUAGCUAGUCGAAAUUUUUUCCCUCAGUUUUGGCCUGAAACAUGAAAUAACACGUAUAUAUAUCAAGAGGAUAAGCUAAAAAGGAGACAAAGGUAAGGCCUACAAUAUUGUCGUAAAUUUGUUUUAUUUUAAUUUUAAGAAAUCAAAUUCUCAAUUUCCCCCCCAAAUUUGUCCUUGAUUUUGGUCAAAGUAUCCGGAUGGGAUUGACUGAAUUUGAUAUCCAUCUUGCGCCUUGCAUCCGCACCCACCCGGCACCAGUGUCACGUCGAGACGGGUACGACUAGGGGUGGGCAUGGUAUGGUAUACUAUGUUGCGCGGACUCUUCAUUUUUGUAGCCAAACCCGUCUCGACGCGACACUAGUGCGGGCGUGGGUGCGGGGUGCGUGUCAGAUUCGGUCAAUCCGAUCCGGGUACUUUGACCAGAGCCAAGAAAAAAAAUUGGGGAAGAAGAGUUCAGUUUCAUGGCCGCGGAAAGUUAACUUUUUCUCCGACAAAGUUGUCAUGAGAUUUGGUUGCUCCAUGGAAAAGAACAGAGAAGAGGCAAAACUUACAAGAAGAGAGAGAGGAGGUAGAGCUUUUUUCUUGUAUAAGAACAGAGGGGAGAAGAAGGCUCCAUGGGAAAGAACAAAGGAUUCAGAGUCUUUUUCUUGAAAAAGAACAGAGGAGAAAGCUUUUUUUCUUGAAAAGAAAAAGAGUAGGCGAAGGGUUUCUUGGGAGAAGAAGGGGAGAACGCUUGAAAAGAAACAGAGUAGGCGAAGGGUUUCUUGGGAGAAGAAGGGAAAGGCACGGUGCUUUAUGAAUUGUAUCAUCUAAUUAAAGUUAGGCUAUAUAUAUAUAUGAUUAUUUCUUUUUUUAUAAUAAAUAAAAGGAAUUAUAAUUUUUUUAAAAUUAAUUAGUAACAAGUUAUAAUUAAUUUAUAGAUGUAGGAGAGUGCAUUAUUUGGAUUAAACCAAAAAUUCAAAUCAAAUUAUUAUUAUUAUUAUUAUUAUAUUGAAUAUUUUUAGCCGAAUCCCCGCACCCGUAUCCAUACUCGGAUUCGCACCCCCGAAUCUUAAAAUUAAAAUUUUUCCUGAUCCGACUCUUGGAUUCGCAUCCGUCUCAGAUAUCCGCACCCGAGCAACUUAAUAUACCGAAUUACUAUACCAUACCGAAAUUUUUAAUACCGUGGUUUUGAUAUGAUAGUAUUUGGUAUGGUAUACAUUUUAAUUUUUUUGGUAUUCGGUACGGUAUUUGGUAUUUAGAAACAAUAUACUGAAAUACCGAAUACCAUACCAAAGUAUAUAGUUACAUAAAUGAUAUAAAAUACUAACAAGUAUGCAACCUAGUAUUAGUAUAUACUAAAUGGUUAGAAGUUGAAACUUUGACUAUUCUAUUUUGAUUGAAAUGUAUUUGAAAUUUAAUUGAUUAACAAAAGGAGUUGUUUGUAUUUUAUUUUGAAUAUAUACUUCUACAUGUGUAAUGUGUUAGUAUGAUACACUCGAGAUCUUUUUUUAAUUGUCAAAGUCAUAAUACUCUAUUAUAUGAGUAUAUAUUAGCCGAAGUUGAACAAAUUAUGGUUAUUGAUUUACCAUACCGUAGAAUACCGAAGCCGAAGCCGAACUUCAAAAUAUCGAACCAUGCCAAAUUGAAUUGGUAUGGUAAUGGUAUAAUGUUUUAAAAGCCGAAUACCGAAAUUACGGUAUCGAAACUUUGAAAUACCGUACUGUACCAUACCAUGCCCACCCCUAGGUAUGACAGUAAAAACAAAGAGUCCGUGUAACAUAGCAUUACCCCCUUCUGUUUUAUUACCAUCUAAGUUCAUUCCACUUCAAUCUCUCCAAUUCUAGUGAUUGCUUUUUCUUCCCCUUUGUUUUGCCUGUGAUGGUUGAUGAUUGAUGUUACUUUUGCCUCCUCUCUCUUUUGCUCCAUUAGUAAGACCAUCCUCAGUAUCUUAUAUUCAAAUCCCACAACAUUAAUUCCAAAAGCCUUGCAUGCUUUGAACAUAAUUGACUUAGUCCAUCUUGAAGUUUCAAUAACUAUAGGGGAGUUAAUUGGCAGCAUGCUUGGAGAAUCAUUCCAUGGAAGUGUAAUAUUGUCGCAAGACGAGAAUCUAACUCAGUACUACUUACUGCUUCGAACUAAUUCAGUGUCAGCUGCCUGGGUAUUGCUGAUUUGGAGUUUUCUCCCUUGCCGUCUUAAGUUGCUCGGACUCUCCAAAAAUGUUGCCGCACCCGUGUCGAAUCCUUCAAAAAUACACUAUUUUUGGAGGAUCCGACACGCAUCCGUCGACAUUUGAUGGAUAAUUGAGUGAAAAGUCAUUAGUCAAGGGGUCCAGUCGUGAUUCCUUUGUGGCCUCUAGUUGGUUUGCAAACCAGUCUCUGUGAUUUGCCAAACCAGUCCCCUGCUAGGACUUUGGCUGCUUCCUGUCUUGAUGGUAGUUCGAAAAGGAACUUGUUAUGAGGCCACGGACAUGAUUCUGUGCCCCGCUGUGACUUUCCAACGAGAAAGAUACCAUUUUUGAAUGAUUUCUGGGUUUGGCUGGAGUGGAAGGGGUCGUUGAAGCAUCCAAUCAAGCAUUUGCUUAAGAAGCUCUUUGCAUCUUCGUUUGUGUUUGUGUUCCCAUAGAGAACAGUGAUGAGGGAUAUGACGGUUAGAAUAUGAAUAGGAACAAGAAUAGUAAAUAUAAUCCUACUUAGAAUAGAAAUAGGAAUAAUAUAUUGAAUCCUACUUGAAAAAGGAUUAUAAUGUAGUGUCCUAGAUGGAAAAGGAGUCUAAUGUAGUGUCGUCUCAAUGUAAUAAUGUAGAGACACAAAUUCAAUAAUAUUAUUCUCCUAUAUUUCUCACAAUAACUAUUGAGCAGUAACUUCUUAUGACACUACAAGCUUGCCAUGUGUCUUUUUUAGCACUAUGAUUGUUCUUCUACAGGUAUUUGCCUUUUCUUUGCUUACUUGAUUGCCGAGCCAAUGGUAAACUGAUAUUCAGGAUUGGCUUUUCAGUUCCUCCCCUUUGAAACUUAAAAAUUGUAAUGAAUCCUGCUAAACUGAUAUAAGUGUCCUUGCAAUCUAUAGAAACAGAGAAGUUAGUACAAUGUUUGGUCCAAUAUUUAAGAAUACGAUAAAGUAUUUAUGGCAGCUUACAGGUGAUUUGGGGGAAUUAGGAUGCCAAAAGAUAGGGACAAGAAGAAGAAAAUAAAGAGAAGCUGGGAGCCUGGGUAAUAUCAAGAACGGAAAGAUGAGAAAGAAAGCGACUCUUUCUGUGAGCAUUUGAAGUAAAAGUUGGUGGUUGACAGUGGUUGUGUUUGGUAUGGAGUUUUCCAUUUUUCUCUUGGUUGGUCAAUUUUUUUGGAGAACAUGUUCUCUAGGAAAACAAGUUGCUUAAAAAUGAGGAAAAUCACUUCUUUGGUGGAAGUAGUGAACACUAGUUCCAUAAGUGGUCUUCCACGUUGAUCGUCUACUUCCCCUCCACAUCUCCACCAUCCCCACACCCCUACCACCCACCUCCAUCCACGUCAUGUAAUGUUUGUCUAGAUUAUAUACUAAUGUUUUUGGGAUAAUAUUUUCUGCUUGCUUAUAAAAUGCUAGAACAUAAGAAAGCCACUUGUUUUUGAGAACAUUUUCCUCAUACCAACCUCACCCCUUCCCCUUGUGCGCGCGUUCUACUCUCACAUCAGGUGGUGCUUACACCUUUGCAUAGUAUUGCGUCACAAUUGUUUUUAGCAAGUUCUAAUUUGUGUCAAGGGUAAGUAGUGCAUUUACCAAACUCUUUAAUUGCACAAUUAAUAGAGCAUCACAAUAUCAUUCAAACUAAUCUUUGCCUUUUAUAACUACAUUUACUGAGAUUCAUUUUGCUUUACAUCAGCCCAAAGUCUUUGAAUCUCAUAUUUAGAAGUGCAGUACAAAGUAAUAAUUGAUGAUAGCAUCUCCAGUUUCCGUUAUUGUCUCUCUAUUAUAUUGGCUAUCUAUAAUUGAAUUACUGAUUAUGAUAGAUCAGGCUUCACAUCUAAUAACCGUUCCGAUUUUCAUGUUUGAGAGUUGUUCUCCAAUAAAUUAUGUAUGGAGCCACCGAGGUAUGGAUGAGUAAGUGUUAUGGUUUUCUUACCUGGUUUUAUGGUUUGGUUCAAUAAUCUCUUUCGCCAAUGAAUUCGCAGUGUGUCCUUUUGGAUUUUGAUAUGCUGAAUCAUACCCCACCUCCCCCAACAUUCUGCCUAGAAAUCAACAGUGGCCAUAAUUUGAAUCAAUUUUUUACCUUAUCAAUAAAAAUAAAUCAACAGUGUCCAUUUCCCAUUUUACUCCCUUGUGUGACUUGGAACUCCCAACCUUUUGGUUGAAAGUGCUCUUGCCAAUGGAGCAACCCUCACUGUCAUUGUAAAUUGGGAUCACUCAACUAUUAUAAGUUGCCAAGUCCAGAAGCAUCACCCUUUGGCUUCACUUUUUAAAUAAGUAAUAUAGCUAUUACUUUUUGGUUUGCUAUGGUUUUCCGCUAAUCUGAGAUUCUUGUGAUUUUCUAUUGUAGAUCACUUGGGAUGAACCAGAAGUUCUGCAGCAUGCUAACAGGGUGAAUCCUUGGCAAGUUGAGUGUAUUCUGCCAAUCCCACAGUUUCUUCCUCCAUCGAAGAAAAUAAAACUGCCUAAUGGGCUGCUACCUGAUGGAGAGAGAAGUCCCUUCCCUAUGACAGGAUUGGGUAGUUUCCCUAUGACAGGGUUGGGUAGCUUCCCUAUGACAGGGUUGGGUAAUCCUACGAUUGGACUCGGUAGCCCAUCAUUGGGCAAUUGUACAUCUUUUCCUGUGGGCAUGCAGGGAGCCAGGCAUGAUCAAGUUUGUGUAUCAAGUUUAUCCAAUGUUAAAAGCAAUAACCUUGGGUUGUGCACUAACAAUAGCUUAGAUGAAGAAAUCAAGGCAAAGCUUGACAGUGUAUCCACCAAACUGAAUAUUGGCAGUUCAUAUUCAGACAAUUUAUCACCGGAUAGUCAGAGCAGUGUGCAUUUUGGGGACAAUGAGCUGAUUACAAAACCGGGUUCCAGCUCUUUGACAAAUGAUCGUUUCAGUACUUUCCAGUUAUUUGGUAGGGUCAUCCAUGUUGAACGUGUUGAGGAAGCUUUAGAUGGUUUUGGUUUUUCUGAAAGUGAUAACGUUCAAGUGUUUAGAGAGAUAGAUGAUCCAUCCAACUCAGACGUCUCACCAAAUAAAGAUGAUCCAUCCAACUCAGACAUCUCACCAAAUAAAGAUGAUCCAUCCAACUCAGACGUCUCACCAAAUAAACCUUUCAAGCUGUUUGACAAUCCUGAUGUCCAACAUGAAUGAGCCUCAGCUGUCGAAGCAUGUUCAUCAUGACAUAGCUAUAAUCCGUAAUUGCCAUCAAUUGCAAAACUGUACAGGUAAAACACUAAUUAUCUGGACUAUGCCUUGAUAGAACAGAUAGAGCCUAUUAGAACCUACUGCAGAUUUAUAUCUUCACUCUUUAUGCUAUAUAUCAAAUGUUUUUUUGUGGUUCAUUUUAUUUAUAUGAGAUUUUCAAGUACAGAUAUUAGGAGUUGUCCCUCAAAAUUUGUUUUCUAGUUUGGACUGCUUGCUAGGCUGGUGGAAAUGAAACAGUGGCUGCUACAAAUACUAUUAUUCUUUUAUAAUAAGAACUAAAGAGAACUCCCAUUUUUCACUUCUGAAGAGUAAGCAUGAUCCAAUGAUUGGGACAUUUAAUGCAUGUUAUUUCCAGUUCAUUUUAUUUCAAGUCUGAAGAAGUGAGAUUUUCAAGUACUAAUCUUAGAGAGUUAAAUUUUUUAAACUCAGAUGAAAUGCGAGGCUGGUGGAAGUGGAUCACUGAUUGCUACACUUGCUAUCAUUUUUGUGUUAAUAAUUAGAAUUAAAGAGAACUUCCAAUAUUCAAUCUUGUUUUCUAGUUGCUGUUUUUUUUUAUCCAACACUUUUUGAUGGUGUCCAGCAUGUCCUUAAUGCUGAGGAAUACACAUUUACCAGUUUCACAAAAAAAAAAAGGCUCUGUGUGGUUCCUUGGUUUGUGUUCUAUUACAAACAAAAGGUUAUAUUUGAUCUGUGUUGUGUAUCAUGACCUAGUGUUCUUUGAUUUAAUCAUGAUUUUGUGUUAGGCUCGCACUUCAGUUUGUUUUAAUUGCUUCUUGACUAAUGAUAUAACGUUCAGCUGGAUGUUUUGGAACUUGGGACAUGUCUUUUAUCUUCCUAACCCUCUGUUAUAGCUUUCGAUUGCAGUUGAAUGAUGAUUAUGGAGAUGGAUUCUUCAUAUAGCGUGCUCUGCUUGUAGUAACCUGAUUGUACUCUUUUAAUUCUUUUCAGGUAUCCAAGGGAGGAGUUGAUUCCAGCAGUGGUUCCAUUGUGGAUGUUUGCUUUCGCUUUGGUAUUCAGAACUAAUGUAGGCUUUAGUUUAAGACGUUUAGAUGUCAAGUAAAUCAUCUGUGUUUUCUUGAUAAUGAUGCCAGUGCAUGAGAUUGUACUCUAUAUGUUCCUGUUAGUACUGUGUCUUUGAAAAAGAAUCUAAUGUGGAGUUAACCUUUUAGAUGCAAGUUAGAAUUUGCUAUGAAUGGUAGAUGUUUCUUGAUUGGGUUACAAAUUUCUCAUGGUAUUAUCCUAUCUUUCUCUGUUUUGGUAACUUUUUGCCAGGUUUUAAGUGCAUAUCUUACAAUUUCCAAUCUCACUAGUCACACAUACAUGCCUCUUUUACUUUCAAAAUUCACUUACAAAUCCAUCCCAUUUGAAACUUUUAAACUGGGGAGGGAGGGAGGGAGGGAUUUAGAUCAACAUAUGCAUUGGGUGAUAUACAGGUUUGUGUUCAUCGUUAUGCAUAUUUUUCUCUGCUUAGUUUCCUUUUCCUCGUUGCUUUAUUAUUUUUUUAAUGUUUGGCGAUGACCACUGCUUGAUUCAGUUAACUAUUUAAAGUUGUACAUUAUGCAUUGAGGCGAAGGAUGGUAUUAUCACAAAAAUACUCCUGUAGUCUGACUUAAUAUAAAUAGGAGUAUAUGUUACAAGUAUUAUUCAUAAUCAUAAUUAUUAGGAGAAAGCAUUUUUGGAGUGAAAAAUGAAGGUUUAUAUAUUAUUGUGAAAUUAUGUAGUUACACCUACCAAUAGGCACCUAAACUUGUAGCAUAUUUAUGCCCAUAUGAAGUUGGGAGUUAAAUGUCAGCUUGUUGGGUUCCCUCUAGCUCUAGGAUAAGACAGACAUUGAUGAUUUCAUUGUGUCUUGGAAACCACUGAAUAUUGUUAUGAUUAGGAACCCAAACGUAUUUUUUGCGAUGUACGUCAAAUAAAGGAAUUCAUCUUUGUUUUUGUUUUCUUAAGCAGUAGUUGAAGGCACAAUGUUCUUGACAAAGACAAAUAUGAUCUUUUAAGCACAAAAGUGUUCCAUGGUGAGACACAUCAUCCACCUUAACAUGGUUUUAAAGUUUUAAGUUCCACCUUAACAUGGUUUUAAAGUUUUAAGUGUCAUAUACUUAGAAUUUGUCCUUUUAUAUUUCAUUCACACCGAAAAAUCAUUUUAAAAACAUCGAAUACCCAUCGGCUCAGUGGUGCACAUUUUUUCAAAACAAAAAAACUGAACAAAAUUUGAUAAAAUCAAACUGAAGAAUUAAAUACCCACCCCUAGUUAUGAUCAUUCUUAAAAAUGAAAACACACAACUCCUCUUCUACUCAAUGAUAAAAUGAGUUUGGGACAAGUCUGAAUAAAAGAGGGAUUGAGCUCUUUUUUUUAGUUGGGUCGGAUCUGGAGAGGUUAAAAAAAUGAAGAGAGUAAUUUUUUCAUGUCACGUAACAUUUUUGGAAUUAAAAAAUCAAUUUAAAGAUUUUUCUAAUUUGGUAUAUUUACGAAAAUGAUAAAUAUCCACCAUUUGUCAGACGAUGAGAUAUACAUGCAUCAAUUUUUAACGAGUCAUAUAUCCACUCUAAUAGCAAAGUUGAAGGAAUAUUUCCCCUUUGCUAUAAAAAAGAACAAAUGUUCAAAUGGCAAUAUCCUUAGCAAUACCUGCCACAAAUUAUCAAGAGUACAAAACAAAGAAGAAAAAUAUAAGAACUUUAAAAUAAGUACCAUUAAACCCAGAAUACGUACGAGUGAUACCAUCAAAGGAAAGCAAGAAAAAUAAAAAUGGCAGGAGCAAGCAUAGAAUAAAACUCAUUCAUAGUAAUAUUUAAUCACCAGUCGAGAAUAUAACAGUACAGGAUGAAGCUUAGGCAUACUGUUUAGUAAGAAUGUCUCAUAAGCUGUACGAAAAAAGGACAUUUAAAGAACAUAUGCUCAAUGUUUUCAUUUUCUUAUAUCCCGGAAAACCUGUGACUGGAAGAACUGCUCCCAGAACUUGCUGCGGAAUCUUCAACCAGCAGCAUAGUGCAAAUCUGUCCAUCCUCUCUACCAGUAAAGAAAUAGGAAAGUGAAGAGUCUGAUCCAUCAUCUCUUGGACAGAACAUGCUGUGUAAUUCAGAAUUCAAACUCACAAAACAUCAAGGCGGCUUCAGCUGCAGUUCAAGAUAUACACUGAGGUGAGGUAUGACAUACAAGAACAGAAUGAGCUUAAAACUGGAACUGCCCCACCCAUCCAAACUCACACUUACAUCAUCAUCCAGUUCACAUCUUAGUCCUCUAGCUGACAGGUCCCUCACCCACAUUGUACUCAAAUUCAUAAUGGAUCAAUCAGGGAUAUACCUAGAUUUAACCACAGACAGUAUGUCACCUCAUCUACUUCCUACCUGAAUUUGCAAAUCACGGAUCUUCUAAUACAAAGAAUCAGGACUUUUGAAACCAGACCUCUUUAAGCUUAAGAAAGAUUUUGUUACUCCUAGCUAACGUUAUUCUUUCAAACCCUUUUGAUUUGGCAAACCUCAGUCAUUAAGUAUAGCAAUACGCCCUUAUUGGACUCCAAACCAUAAUAGAGAUGUACAAAUUAGCUUCAGAGCAUUCAAGAAAUUCCCCAACUGAGCACUUACAGGUAUCUUGAUUUCUGCAAAUGCAACACCUUUGAAGAACAUGAACAUGCACAACAUAUUUGUGGGUUAAUUUCAAGAAGCCUCAGAUACAGAUGCUCCAAAGAAACACCAAAAUGUAUCAUGAUCCUUUACUUUAACGAGUCAGUCCAAGUGUAUGAUCGAAAUUAUCCUACUUCAACUUUAACAUAUCAAAUGAAUAUCUAAUAAAGCUUAAAAGCUCAUGUUGGGAUUACAUACACAGCUCUUUUUCUAAUAAACAGUACACACAAGUAGUGCUCGAUUAGGGUGUCUUCUGCCAUGCAGAAAUGCAUACAUUGUGUUAGAUCAAAAUAUAUGAGUUAAUACCUUCAUGAACUUUUCUUGAAAAUAGUAACACUGACCAAAGUGGAAAACAAUGCUAGAAAAGCUCCAUUUCUUGAGAGCAAAAACUCAGUCCAGGUCAAGGGCUUGGUAAUCUGAGUUAACACUUCCUGAAAUUGCUCAUGCAGAGCUUCCAAUGAGCUGGUGUUAUCGAUCACAAUAUCUGCCUUUGACCUCUUCAGAUCCAGGGACAUCUGCGCAUUUAUCCUGCUUUUGGCCUCCUCCUCCAUAGAUCCAUCUCUAGUCAUGAGCCGCUGCAGCUGUGUCUCAGGGUCAACCCAAAUGACAACAAUGGGUUUAGUCCAUUUAUCUAUCUUGGCCUCAAACAAAAGAGGAACAUCAAGAACAAUUAUGGAGCAACCCUUUAUCCACAGCUUCAAAACUUCCAUUAACAUACCAUGUGAAAUAAAUGGUGCUAGCAACCUACAUAGACCGCACCAAUUCAACUCUUAGGCAAUCUAAUAAAACUAGGACAAAAUAUUAUUUAGAGUAAAUCAAGAAAUAUAAAAUUUCUAUGAACCAAUAAAUCUUAUAGUAAGACAGAUUUUACCAAUCACAUUUGACCUCCAUAUUUUGUUGUUCAACGCAGUUUUGCGCCAAUAGACCACACGCAGGCUUGGUUAUUCAUGAAGAAACUUUGCCAAAAUCUCAUAGGAGCGGCCCACUCCACUUCUCAUAUAGGUGAAUUCCAUCAAGUGUAUACUACUUUAAAUACACCAUCCUUAAGGACUAUAAAAUCAUGAGUUAAUAACUCAUCCUCACAAUUAGUAGUAGUUCAAAAACUCACUUUUAGUGCGCAAUGUCAAUAUUGACUUGUUAUUACCUAUAUGAACCUACUUCAUGGGAUCUCCAAACACAUAGGUUGGGUUAUCAUAUUUAUUGAGAAUCAUAUCAGCCUUACCCCAAUCUCUUUUGAUGUUUGAAGGGUUAAUUUUCUUCCCACGGGUUUAGUCAGGGAUUGGCCAAAUUCACUUCUGACUUCACAUACUCAAUGGAAAUUCAUUUGCAACUAAUAUGUUUUGUACCAGGAGGUAGAUCAGUCAAAACCCAUGUUUUACUUCUCUUGAUAAAACCAAUUUCUAUUUUAUUGUCUCGUUCCAAUAUUCAACAUCAGAAGAAUAUAUAGUUUCAAAAUAAUUUGAUGGUUCAUUAUGGACAAGAAGAGUUUGAAAAUCAUUUCCAUAAGAAAAAUAUUCUUUUCUAAGCCUUUGCUCCUUCUCAGUUUCUCAUUAGAGGUAAUCCCUAAUAUUUGGAGGUGACAUUUGGUUUUUAAUGACAUUUAUCCAGAGUGCAUUCUGCAAAAGAUUCAAUGCAGAUAAUAGAACUAUCCUUUCUUAUGCAGAUGUAGUUCUUUUAGCACAUUCCUUUUAAGGCAAUUACUAGAGCACUUUAACUUAAACAGAAUAUAGUACUAUAUUUCUGCUUCUCUUGAUUUGACAAGAAGUAUCCAAUUGAAAUAGAAAAUACAGGAUUAAUGAGCUGCCAAUCUAUGCCUUUUUUUUUUUAACCUUUUGACAUCACUUUAUAUCAGAGUAACAGUUGAGAAUGAAAAUUUAAAUAGCAAUAAAGCAGGAGUACUUGAGCAGUAGAAUUUCACUCAGUAAUUAUGUCAUAGUUUCAUAACUAUUUUACCUAUUAAGAAGCUGACGUUUUUCAAGAUCAGAGAAUACUAUUUGACCUAGCUUUGCACGAUCAACUUCUCCAUUAUCCAAUAAGAUGUCCUCACCAAAUGCGGCCACAACCUUUUUCCAACCACCAGUUCCUUCCAUCAAAAUGUUCUACAUAAUUUCAUAUUUUUGUCAGUAAAGAGCUUUACUGAGGAUUUACAAAAUUUAACAGAUGGAUAUACAAUAACUCAAGUACAACAAUUUAAGACUCUUUAGAUUUGAUAAUAAACUAAAUAGACCUAGUAAUAGAAUGAGAAAAGCAAGAGGAAAAGUAGUUACACGAGCUACAACGUCAGCAUCAACAACGGGAAUACCAUGAGCCUUGAAAAGGUUGGAGACAGUGCUCUUCCCUGAAGCAAUUCCUCCGGUCAGUCCAACUAUCCUCAUUCUAAUUUCGGGCACAAAUCAAGUAAUGAGGAACAACUAAGGCUGCUCAAAGUCAGUUGCUUCCUCUGCCUUACUUUUCCAUUGGCAAACGACCUUCUUGAUUCGGGGAUAUCUUCAAUAUCAAUUUCAAACUGAACAAUAAGUUGCAGGUUCAUUACCAACAAAAAAAUUAAACACAUAACUUCUGUUAGCACCCUAAAUUUAUCAAGUAGUAUAAAAUUACAGAUCCCUAUAGUGAGGUAGAAACAUUUUCAAGAUAAAAGAGACAAAUAUGAAAAUGAAAUUCAAAUUGGUGGAGAGCACCAAACAUAAUGUAACGUCCCACACUGUCGUGCUAAGGUUUGAAUCAUUCGACGUAUGUGAUUUGACCUGACCCGGAAAAUUUUGGUGGUUCUUUGGUGUUUAUAGGACUUAUUUAUGAUUGGUGAAGUGUUAUGUAAGUUCAGAGUCAAUUAAAGAUUGAAAAGAUCAAGUUUGAAGGUGUUGAGCUAUGUAUGGUGUGAAGUACGAUCGUACAUUGCAUGUACAGGUUGUACCUGCAUCGUGGUGAAGCUACAAUUUAGCAAGGGAGGAGCCAAGUACAUACCGUACACAGGGCCGGCUCUUGCCUAUGAAUUUUUAGGCCUCAAAUUUCUGUAAAAAAAAAUCAUGUUUAAUUUUUUCAUGAAAAAAAUUAAUUAUUUAUAAUUAAAAAAAUAAAAUAAAAUAAAUAUAUAUAUAUAUUCUUCGCUAACACUCACAUUAUUUAUCCUUUUUAACCCCUUCUGUACUUUAUUUCUUCAAAUCUUUGAUAGUUACAAUAAUAUUCUGUCAAAAAAAAUCAAUAGCCAAAAAGUGUUGAACAAAGUAAAUUACAAAUAUUUUUUUUAUUUCUUCGUAAUUUUUCAUAUUAAAGUAGGGUAUACCAAAUUAUCAACUUUUUGAAUCAGAUUUUAUGAUUCUAACUCUCAUCUUUAUUUAAAAUUUAUCAACUUAUUACUUAUAAAACUAUAUUAUUGAUUCGUAUAAUAAUUGUCUCAAUAAAAUGAUGUUUUUCAAUGUUGAAUUGAUAAAGUCUUGCUUAAAAAUAAUAAUUAUAAAAAGUAUUUGAAAAAUUCAUUUAUAAAAAAAAUAUUAAGGAAUAAUUUACAUAUAAAAAUUUAGAAAAAUAAAUAAAUACAGAUACAAUUUAUUUAAAUUUUAGACCUCUAAUUAAAAUUUCGCUUUAGGCCUCUUUAGGUAUAUAUAAUGGAUGGAAAACUAAUUUGAUUAGAUUAAUUGUGUAGUUCAACUGAAGAAAUUCAUUGUUACUUUCACAAGAUGUCUGCAUUAAGGAAAAGUCUAAGAGAGCUUCCUUUAGUCUGCUCAUGAAUGAGAAUUGGUUGUAUAAGUUCAUAAGACAGGGUUUUAACAUCACAAUAAACAAGCAACAAUUCCUCCAUUCAGCAGUGUAAACCAACAGCUUGUAACACAAAAAUUCUGCCUUAAAAGAAAAUCAUUGACUCUAAACGCACAGGAACAGAGAAUGUCAUAGAUUGCACUUCGAAGGAUCAUUUAGGUGUGAACAAUUUUCAACUAAGCGAUUCGACCAAGCAGUCAACCUACCUAUCUACCCCAAAUUUCACUCAAAACCAACUCCUAAUAGCGCUCGGGUAAUCAGACUUCAGUAGUGAAUAUAUUGAGCACAUAAUAAAAUGGAGAUCAGGUUUAACCAAAGGCUCAAGUCAAGCAAACUAAUAAAAGAACCCAUUUCAACAGUUCAAAAUUCAUGGCUAUAGAUUAGCAUACUGCUCCAUGUAACAGUUUCCCUCUCCCCAAUCUCCACUUCCAAACAAAUUGGUCAAAUCUGAACAAAACACUUUAAAAUCAACCCGAACUACCCCACGCGCACUUAUACACCUCUCCAAAUGUCGCUCGGCUACUCAAAACUCAACCGGCAUAUGAAAUAGUCUCUCAGACAAUUUGUCGAACACAUUGCAGGCAGAACUUUAACCAAACUGUUUUGCACUAGCUUGGUGAUUGACUUACCCUCUCAUUUACUGGAAAGUAUAGUUCAAUCCAGAACAAAUACAUCACAAUCAGAAUUGAACAAUUUGUGCAAAAAGAAAAAUUAUGUAAUAGAAAGAAAGUAAGGAGAGAAAAGUGUAGAGGAGAAGAGACUUUACCUGAGCCUGAGCGCCACUGAAAACCUCCACUAGUGGUGAAGUUGUGUGAUCGUGUAAGUGAGCGAACCUGUUAAGAGAAGGGAAAUGGAUCAAGUAUGGUAUUUGUAAGCUAUGGAUUCUUAAAUGGCGUAAAUGAAUAAUUUUGUUGUUGGGAGUAAUUAAUAUGGUCAUGAAAAAAUAUAUAUUCUUCUUGAUAUAUAAUUAGUAGAAGCAGGGGGUGUUUACAUUUGGCUGAAAAAUCGAACCAACUAAUUUUAAAAAUUGAACUCUAAUUUGAUUUGAUUUUAAAAUCCAUAAUAGUUGAUUUGCUUUUAUACUGUUUUUUUUAUAAAAAAAAUACCUGAUUAAACUGAUAAAUUAUAUAUACAAUUUUUUUUUAUAUAUCUACAUAUACUAUUAAUUUUUCAUAAAUAAUUAUAAUUUUUUUAUACCUUUUAAUCACUAGUUUGAUAUAAAUCUACUUAUUUCACAUGCACUAAUUUCUUACAAAUAUAUUUCCAAGCCCAAUACUGGUUGUUUGGUAGGGUGUAUUAGGAUAAAUAGUUCAUCUAUUAUAUACUCGCUCCAUUCUAUAUUAAUUUAAUUUUUGAGUCAUUUUCCAUUUUUCAAAUUAACUUAAUUGUUCAGUUUUCAAGACUACUUUUAGAGUGUUAUUCCAAUUUUACCCUUCAUUAGUUAGUAUUGGAAUUCGUGAUUAAUUAAUUUAGUUAUUUUAAUCAUAAAUUUUUCAAUAAUUAAUAAGGGUAAAAAUGGAAAACUAUAUUCAAUUUAUAUCUUAAUCUACUUUUCUUAAAGGGUGUGAAACACCUCAAAAAUUCAAUUAAUAUGGAAUGGCGGGAGUAUGAUACUCCCUUUGUCCAACAAUAAUUGUCCACCAUUGACUUGAUACACCCCUUAAGAAACUAUAAAUAGAAGGGUAAUUUUACUAUAUCACCCUUUGAAUAUAAUAAAUACAAUGUCUUGAAAAAUGUAAUAAAGAUAUAACUAUAAUUAAUGAUAAGGGUAAAUUAGGAACUAAGUGUAAAAUUAUUCAUUGAUUUCAUAAAGUGGACAAGUAUUGUUAGACUCCUAAAAUAGUAUAGUGGACAACUAUUGUUGAAUGGAUGGAGAAUUAUUUAGUACUAUAUUUAAUAGAAAUAAUGGGUAUAAAUACCCUCCAUUUAGUGGUAUUAGUUACACAUAUAAUUUAACACCAUGUGAUUAAUAUAUUUAAAGACAGAAAUAUCCUCAAAUCAUUUUACCAUUUUGUUUAUUUUUUGAUUUUAUGUUUUAUAUUUGUACUGGUAGAUUUAUUUAAAUUAAUUAGCUUACAAAUUUUAUUAUUUAGAGAGAGUUGUUUGUUGCUAAAUAAAUCCAAUACAAUAUUUGAAAUGUGAGUUGUUUAACAUUUACUAAUUGAUCACAUGAUGUGUGUGUGGUUUUCUAAUUAUUUGUGUUUUGAAUAAUUUAUAAAAUUGCAUAUAUACUAAAACUACACCAUGCAAUUUUUAUGUGCAAAUGUAGACGGUUUAUUCGAUUUUAGUAUUGUUUAUAAAGGAAAAAUUCUAUAAAAUAGCAAACUAUUAAUUCAAAUUAAAUGUUAUAACCACAGUUUCAUUUAGUUGGAAUCCGUAGCAAACACUUGACAUUCGUCUCUCCCUAGAGAAUCUCGCUUGCCACUCUCCCUCGCCUCUCUCACUUUUAUACAAACACAAAUGUAUAAAUUGCGUUUGUGUUUGUAUAAAAGUGAGAGAAAACUGUAUAUACAACUACAAAUACAUAUAUUUUCGUCCUAUACACUUUAUAAUUAUAUAAAUAUAGAUCUUCACCUCUAGUUCUCUUUUGCAUUUCUCUCUUUCUCGCUUUUAUACAAAACACAAAUUAUACAAAUUACAAUGUGUAAUUUGUGUUGUAUAAAGAGAGAGAGAGAGAGAGAGAGAUUUGAUAUACAAAUGUUUUAUUUCGAUUCAACGUAAUUGUAUACAAAUUCAAAUUGUAUGCAAAUAUACAAACACAAUCAUUGAUACAUAUACAUAGUAGUUACAUAUAUACAAUUAUCUAACCGAUAUACAUAUACAAUCGCUGCGCUUUUAUACAAACGAAUGCCUGCUUGCGAUUUAGACAAAUCUGAUGCUCCAUAGCAAACAUAAAAAUUUGCUAUGGAGCGCAAUUAUGCAAACUAUAGUUAUAGCAUACCAAUAUGAUUUUUAUGUUUUGCUAAACCUAAAAUUUACUCUUUAUAAAAUUAACGUUUUGUGAGUGAUCAAUUUAUUAAGUUGACAAUUGUUUACCCUCAAAUAAUUCAAGUGAGAAAAUAAUAAACAUGACAAAAAUGUUCUUCUCCUAGCUAGUUAGAAAGCUACAAAAAAAUAAUAUUGUCCGGGAAUUAUAUGAAAUAGAAAAUCUCAUAAUAAUUCAAGAGUAUAAUUGGAAAGAAGUUUUUAGGAGAAUCUUACAAACAGAAGAUUAAGUGGGAAGCAAUGAAUCAAACAAUUGAUAAGAAAUAACCUCUGCAUUACUAAUUCUUGCCUAACUAAUCAAACUGCUAUUUGUCUGACCCACAUAAAAUCCGAUCUCAGUUAGACUAUUUAUUCACAUAUGGAGGCAAAGUUAUAUCAUGACGUUCGAUGAAGCAAACAAUAGUUGCUACUUCUUCAAAUCAUGCAGAGAUAAUAGUCAUUCAUGAAGCCAGUCGAGAGUGUAUAUGGUUGAGAUCAAUGACUCAACAUAUUUUGCAAUUAUGCGGUCUUUUUGUGCAAACAAAGACUCCAACAAUAUUGUAUGAAGAUAAUGUUGCUUGCAUAGCUCAAUUAAAGGGAGGAUAUAUCAAAGGAGACCGAACAAAGCAUUCUUUUUCACACAUGUUCUUCAACAAAAUGGUGAGAUAAAUGUUCAACAGAUUCGUUCGAGUGAUAAUUAAUCUUCCAGAUUUAUUCACUAAGGUAUUGUCAACAUCAACAUUUGAGAAGCUAAGAUAUAAGAUUGGAAUGCGUCGUCUCCGAGAUAUCAAGUAAAGUUUUCAUCAGGGGGAGUAAAAUACGCGAUGUACUCUUUUUCCCUUAACCAAGGUUUUGUCCCAUUGGGUUUUCCUAGUAAGGUUUUAAUGAGGCAGCACUCAAGGCGUAUUACAAGAUGUGUGUACUCUUUUUCCUUCACUAGGCUUUUUCCCACUGGGAUUUUCCUAAUAAGGUUUUAACGAGGCACAUUAUCUAUAAACAUCCAAGGGGGAGCGUUACAAAUCCAUUUAAUUGUGGAUGUUUAUUUUCAUCAAUAACCUAACGUAAUGUAUUAAUUUAAUGUAAGCCUUAAAGAUGUAUUAACGUAUUUGGUUUAAGAUUGUAAACGGGUGAAUUCUACAUCCUAUAAAAAGGUAUUCUUUACCCUUAAGAAUGACACACUUGAAGAGAUUAAAUAAGGGUCUCAACUUUAUAUUUUCCAUCACAAUUUGUCUCCCUAUAUUAUUUAAGUAUUUUUGUAUUUUCCUCUUGUUUUACAACAAAUAUGACAAUUUAGCCUUACUAAUAAAAAAAUCGGUAUAACCAUAAAAUAGAGGUGGAGUCACAAACCAAUCCAACAUGCCAAAAUCUCUCUACCAUCCUCUCCUCUUUCAUCAGGAACAAAUAUACAUUGAGCUUUUUGAAUGUUCGAGCAUCCAUUACUUUCGUUCGAAUAGACUAUAUUUAUAUAGAAAUUUCAAGUAAUGGUAUUAAAUUAAAAAAUGAGCAUCCAUAUAAGAAAAUGUGAAUUGGCACGGGUGGUCAUACAUGGGUGCUAAAGGUUGGCAACAAAACAUUCCAAGCUGCUCUUUUGGUGAUUUUUUCUAGAAAAGCUUUUAUUAAAAUUGAAAACGUUUUUUUUUAUCCAAAAUAAUAUUAUUAUAGUUCUUCAUAUUAAUUUUUUUGAUAUUGUGUUUAGAUAUGCUUGUCUUUUUUUAUGAGUCAUAACUUUAUUUAUUCUAUUUUGUGAUUGAUACUUAAGAGAAACACCAUGACUUUAAAAUUCUGAAUCUGACAUUGGACACAUUUGUUGAUUUCUCUGCCAUUGGAGGCCUUUUUUCACCGCCGCCAACAAUCCCAAAAUCCAGUAUAAACAAUAUUCCCUUCUCAUACUCAUUUAAUUAUAUAGAUAUGAUUGUUCAAAAUCGAACCGAAAUUGAUAAUUUGAAUCGAAAAAAAGUUAUUAGUUAUCGAUAAUAGGUUAUUAGUUUAACGAUUUUGAUAACAAUUUUGAUUUUCUUUAUUAUCAGGCUAUCAAUUCAUAACAGUUUGAAGUUUUUUCUUAACAGGUUAAUCGAUAAUCCAAUAGUAAAUUGAUAAACUAUAUUUAUAUCAUUUGGUAUAUAAAGUCUUUGACUUAGAAUUUAGUUUCCUAUUUUUAUUUCUAACAGUCUCAAACUUUCGAUUAUAAGAUGCAAUGUAUCAAUUCAUGUGCAGGGUUGAUUUGAUUUGUCACCAUGUUUCUAAGUGAUUUUCAAUAAUUUAUUUUUAUGUCGAAUCUUAACAAUUAAAUCAAUAACCAAACCGAUAACGAUCAAUAACAGAUAAAUUGAUAAUCGAUAAGUUAAGUGUUCUAUGAGGAUUUAUCAUGUCCACAAGUCAAUAACUAAUCAACUUUAAAAUUGGACCUAACUGACCGAAACAGCACUAAUUACUAGGGGUGAUCCCCAUGAUGAUUUUAUCAAAUAUUGUUAAAAAUAUCUUCUUGAAAAUUCCUAAUCUCAACAUUGUCUAAUGUAAUAAUUUGUCGGUAAUUGCCGAUAUAACACUUCCAUUAAAACCUUAAACAAAGCAUAUAGAGGCAUCAUAUCUUAUUUUAUUAUAGAAAUGAUCUCUUAUUGAAAGAACUUGGAAUUAGAAAAAUAGCUCGCCUAGAUUUAUGUUUUUAUUUUAUUCUUUAAGAAAUUUCUUAAAUAAAAAUAUUCAUACAAUUAACUUUAAAGUAAUUAAAAGAUCAGCACUAUUUGACUAAUCAUUAUUUUUUAUAUUAGUUUAGUAAGUAAUAAAUAGAUAUGAAAAUUUGUUACAAUAAAAUUAAAUUAAGGGAGGUAAGCAUAAUUUCGUAAACUACAAAAAAGGUUAGUGUGAAUGAACUAAAUCUGAAGAAAAGUCUCUUAAAUUAUUCUUAUUUUUUAAUAUUUUAAUUUAAAAUGAAGUGCUUAUAUAUCAUACAUUUUUUUCAAAUAAAUAAAUAAUAAUAAAAAAGUACUUAUAUAUUCAACGGAGAGUUUGCUUUGGCAGAGGACUGAUAAAAGGGUUUUCACUUUAAUUAUGGAAUGCGACCCAAAGUAAAAAAAGUAGAAAGAGUCAAUUAAUGAGUCGACACUUCACUCAAUGAAAGCUUAAAUUGAGGAACCGGAAAUUGCCUUGCAAGUUCGUUUUCUACUUUUAUUUAAACUUUUGCUAGUUCUUUUACAGGUUUCUUUUUCUCAUUUGAAUUCACUUCGUAAAGUUCAUAUUGAAUUAUCAAAUGCGAUUUCUAGCCAGGGAAUUCGAACUCGAACUUCUUGAUUUAGGAUGAAGGAGUAUAGUUAAUAGUUCUCUUACAAGUUGUUAUAUCUUCUAAAGAAACAAAACAUAUUUAUCUUAUAUAAGUAGGGGUAUGCAAAAAUUGAAUCGAAAAAAAUUGAUAUUGAUUUAUUGCUAUUAGGUUAUUGGAUUAACGAAUUUUUAAUAAUUUUGUAAAUUUUUUUAUCGUUAUCGAUUUAGAUUUGAUUUUUUUAAUAUUAUUUUAUUAGAUAAAUUGGUAACUCAUUAAGAUAGUAGAAAUUUAUUACUUUAUCACUACCUAAAUAUUAAAUAUUCACAUCAAUAUCUUAUUGGUUAGUGUCUUUUUCGUUUAUCAUUCAAUUCACACUUCGUUGUGAUUUUGAGUUCACAACUUCAUAUUAUACAAAACAUCAAAAAGUAAGAAUCACAUUCCUCUUAAUUUAUGUAUUAUAUUAUUAUUAUUUCUAUUUUAUAAACAUUUUGUAAAGUUACAUUAUUAACUUGUCAUAUCAAAUUAUUGAAGAAAUCAUAUGUUUGUUUUGUAAGUAUUUUCUUAUUAUCGAACCGACCAAAAUCAAUAAAUCGAAAAUCAAAAAAAAAAAUCCUAUAAAAGGAGAAAAGACAUAAAGUGACACCUGAAGUUGUUCCGAAUUUUCAAAAAGACACCUAAACUAUGCAAGUGUCCUAUUACCCCCCUAAACAAUCCUGAACUGAUAUUAUUACAUCAUUUUUUGUCCACCUGGCAUGGAGAGUGUAUGCACUCUCUUAAAGAGCGUGAACAAACUAAAAAAUGAAUAUAAUUUAUUUUACAAGUAUUUUGCUAUAAAAUAUAUUUUCUGUUUUCUAUUAUUUAACUUUUUCUCCUUAUUAUUUUUUUUCUUUUCUUUCUUCCUUCUUCAAAAAUUCAUUGAAGUUUCUCACUUUCAAUGUCACCUUUUACCACAACUCCACCUCCCUUUUUAGUACUAUUAGUUUAACUCUCUUCAAUUUUAAAAUUAUAUCUAAAUAUUUUGUUACAUUUCGAACAAUUUGAUAAACCCAUUAGAUUUCAAGAUGAUUAGUAGGAAUUAUUUAGUUUUUUAUCCAAAUUUCAAUUAAACUUUUUCAAUUUUCGGAGAAUUCUGAUUCUUUCAGACUUAUCAUUUCUCGUUUUGAAGUAAUAUGAAAAUGAGAUAAAUUAAUUGAUGAUACCUUCAAAAUUUUGAUUUUUCUUAGAAAAAUAAUUAAUUUUGUUAUCUAUUACUCAACAAAGUCUAGAAAAUAGUAUAAUUUUGGAAAGAAAGAAAUUUGACCGAAGAAGAAGAAGAAGAAAGAAAGAAAGAAAAUGAAAGGGCAUAACUUGACGUGGGGGUGGGGUGAGGUGAGGGUGGGAGGUGAAAAAGAAGAAAGAAAGAAAGAAAAUGGAGGGAGGGGUAGCUUGAAAGUAGGGGUGGAAGAUGAAAUAGAAUUUAAAAUGAAAUUAAAAUUAAAAUAAGUCAAAAAGUAAGAGAGAAAUAAAGAAAAAUUUUAAAAUGAAAAAAAUAAUUAUAUUUUAAAUUAAAUUAACACGUGUCACACAAUGAUUGGUAGCUCUUGCCAUUUAAAAUUUGGAAUUGAUCGAAAAAUGAUGUAAUAAUAUAUGUUCGAAAUUAUUUAGGGAGAUAAUAGGACGCUCGCAUAGUUAAAAUGUCCUUUUGAAAAUUCAAAACAACUUCAAGUGUCACUUGUGUCUUUUCUCCCUAUAUAAGUAGUCAUUUGAUUUUAUGGUUUCUAUCCUUCACCAAUGGGUAAUUUGCACUCACCAUGUUAUGAAGUUUUCUUGAAUAUUAGGGUCAUUUGAUUAAAUGGUCUCUACCCUUCACCAAUGGGUAAUUUAUACUCACCACGUUAUGAAGUUUUCUUGAAUUUUAGGGGAAAAGAUGUGCGCAAAACAUUUUUAGAUCAUCUCUAUAAAGCAUUAUGUGAUGUUGAAAUUAAUGUGUUUAGAGAUGAUGAUGAACUUCCAAGAGGCGAGGACAUUUCACGGAGUUUACAUGAAGCAAUUGAAGAGUCAAUAAUUUCUCUUGUUGUUUUCUCCAAGAGUUAUGCCUCAUCUAAAUGGUGUCUUAAUGAGUUGGUCAAAAUUCUUGAAUGUAAAGAAAAUUUUGGGCAGUUCAUUUAUCCUAUAUUUUAUGAUGUUGAUCCUUCUGAAGUACGCCAUCAAACUGCGCAAAUUGGUGAUUCUCUUGCUAAACAUGAAUUAAAUACGAGUCCAGAACAGUUGUGGAAGUGGAGAGCUGCACUUACUGCGGUUGCAAGUUUAUCUGGAUUUCAUCUUCCAAAUCUUUUUAACGGGUAAUUUCAAAAUAAUUAUCACUCCUUUUGUUCGUUUUUAUUUGUCAUUUAUUUCUAAAAUAAAUUUUCAUUUUUAUUUGUUAGUUUUGACAUAUUAAAAAAAAACAUAACAAUUUUUUUUUAUAUAUUUUAUCCUCAACAUUAAAUACUUAUUUUUCAAAUAAUUAUUUUCUUAAUGAUUUGUUAAGUUAAAGUGGAACAAGUAAAAGUGAUCUAGAGCCCAUUUGAAUUGAUUUAAAAAAAUAACUUUUAAAUCAAAAAUAAAAAGUCAAAUUGAAAUGACUUUUAAAUCAAAAAAUAAAAAGCAGAGGAAGACUUAUUUUUGGUUUCUGACUUAUUUUAAGUCAUUUUUUACCUUGCCAAAAACUUCGUAACUUAUUUUAAAUCAUUUUUGACUUAUUUUAAGUUAUUUUUUUUAUAUUUAUCAAACACUUUUAAAAGUAAAAAACUGACAUAAAUUAGGUUUGAUCAACUUUUAAAUCAAUCCAAAUGGCACCUAGUAUUUUUUCCUUUUAUUUUCUUCUCUUCCUCUUCUUUCUUUCAGCUGUAAAACUUACUACCAGAGUUCAUCUCUUCCUCCAUUCGAGUCCAAACUACAUCCACAUACUAUGGUAUUCUUUUUCUUUCCUUUUCUUUGUCUUCUUUAUUUAAGUCCCUGAGCAUAUCCAUUUGCCAUCUUUUUUUACAAAAUCUAACAUUAUUAUUGAAUUUACGGUUAUACAAGAAGAAUAGGUGCAUAAAUGAUAGAUUCACAAUAUUUUAAUAAAUUUUGUUAACUGAAAAAGUUUGUUACAAUGGUGUUUUAAUGGCUAAUAGUUGAUUUUGAAAAUUUACUUGAUAGUGGAGAGUGGGAUUUCUAUCUAUGGUUUGUGGUGUGUCGGGUUGACGUAGUGAUGGUGGAGCCAAGGUUAGGAGUUUGGGAGUUCUAAAUCAAUUUGUUUGGGGGUUCACAUGUUAAUAUACAUAUAUUUAUUUAAUUUUCUAAUACAAAUAUAGGGCUACGAAAAAGUUAGUGGGUUCGUCCGAAUUCAUGAACCCCACCUAGCUCCGACUCUAGUGGUGGUUUCAAGAUGGUGUGUGAUUGACGUAGCGAUGGUGGUUUCAAACAUUUUGAUUAACCAAAACAUAGGAAAAUUGGAAAACAUUUUCUUGAUACCAAACAAAAUACCUUUUCUCCCAUACAAAAUAGAGUAAUAGAUAUAGUUUUACUACUACUACUACUUAAAAAUUUUCUUUUCUGCAGUCAUGAAGCAAAAUUCAUUGAGGUGAUUAUCCAGGAGGUAUUGCGUAAAUUAAACCACAAAUAUAUAGACAUUGCAAGGCAUCCCGUAGGAAUUAAUUCUCGUGUCAGUAAACUGAUAAAUAAGUUGGCAUGGACGAGGGCAAGCGAUGCCAUAUAUGUUGGAAUCUGGGGAGUGGGAGGUGUUGGUAAAACUACCUUAGCAAAAGCCAUCUUCAACCAUAUUUCUCCAAAUUUUGAUGGUAGCUCCUUUCUUGAUGUUGGAUCACAAGUUUCAAGGAGGGAUAUCGGUUUGGUUGCUUUGCAAGAAAAGCUUCUCAAGGAUACUCUCAGGGAAAAAAUUGAAGUCAGCUGUGUCGACCAUGGAAUUCACUUGAUUAAACAAAGGCUUCAAUCAAAAAAAGUUCUCAUUGUCCUUGAUGACGUUGCUGAUGUUGAAAAAAUAUACUCAUUAGCAGGAGGGAAGCACUGGUUUGGUCCUGGCAGUAGAAUUAUCAUUACCACCAGGGACGAACACUUGCUGAAAUGUUCCACAGGUGAUGUAAAAUAUGAGGUCAAGUGUAUGACCGAAAGUGAAAGUCUACAGCUUUUCUGUUGGCAUGCUUUCAAGAAUCCCCUCCCUCCAGAAGACUUUGUGGAGAUCUCUGAAAGUCUGGUAACAUAUGCACAAGGGCUUCCAUUAGCACUUGAAGUUUGGGGAUCCUUUUUAUAUAGAAGAAGCAUGGUAGAGUGGAAAAGUUUCAUUGAGAGAUUGAAGCAAAUCCCUCACGAUUCGAUAGUAGAGAAACUGAGAAUAAGCUAUGAUGGUCUCCCUGAUCAUUCAACUAAGGAAACAUUCCUUGAUAUCGCAUGUUUCUUGGAAGGAUGGGACAAGGAAGAUGUUUCUAAAGUCCUCAGCAGUUGCGGUUUCUUCCCUGAAAUCGGAAUUAAUGUCUUGAUCGAGAAGAGUUUAGCAACAAUAAAUGAAUCCAAUCAACUGAGCUUGCAUAAUCUGAUUAGAGAUAUGGGAAGAGAAAUUGUUCGUAGAGAAUCCAAAUAUCCAGGUGACCGUAGCAGAUUGUGGGAUCCUGAUGAUAUUCGUGAUUUGAUUACUAGGCACAAGGUAAUGGUUCAUUCUACUUUGAAGCCUGACCUAUACUUUCCCAAGAUUAGAAAACAAGGUCUCCUCAAAAUUUGUUUUAGAAAAAGUUCUUAAGCACUACCUUAAUAAGAAGCUUACCAAUGGAAACUUGCUUUACUUUUUAGCUAGUCAAUGUGGCACACAUAACUUGCUCUCAUGCGUCUUCUGAAGUCUUUAUAUAUUCAUAUUAAAAUUUCUUCUUCUAAGGAUUACAAAUAUCUGAAAAACAGUUGAAAGUCAGAGAAAAGUGUUUUAUGGUACUCCCAUUGUCCUGCAAUAUUGAAAUUUUUUGCCUCAUCACUAUAAGACAUCCUUUGUGCUUUAUUCAAAUUUAGAGACAUUCUUUAUGCGUUGAAAGAUCAAAAGGACUUUUUGGUUCAAAGAUUUGCACCUAUGAAGUGGCCAGUUUUCACCUCCAGGAAAAUCUUUUUUAAAAAAAAGGUAACAACAGUAGGAACAACAGCAACACUGCCAAAAAUUAGCUAAACAAAGUAUAACAUAUUUAUUUUUUUCGGUUACAAACAUCCCCUCUCUGCAUUUAACACAAGGAUCUAUUGUAAGAGCAGCAUGUGCUACCACAUUACUCUACCUUUUGGUUCAUCAUUUAUAUAUAUGUAUAAGAAAAUUUAUCAUUUACGUAUAAAUAUUAUAUUCACAAUUAUAGUAUUUUAGAAGCUCUGCAUGUAUUGGUAAUUUAAUGAUUGACCUUAUACCAGAUGUAGGUCCCAAUCCAUGUAGAGUAGUUUUUGCUUAUUAUUCUUCCUAUUUUCCUUUUUGCUUCUUUUUUAGUCUCUUCCUCAAGGAAUUAUAUCAAUUGGGCAUGAGAAGCACACAACCAUAGCCAUUGCAAUAUUAAGCUUUGAAUUGAGCCAUUAGCUAAUGAGGUGCUUCGCUUUUCUUUCAUUAUGGAAAAGAAUUAAUAGUUUGACCCCUCCACUUCCGACUUUAUUCACCUGACAUCUCUUUCCUUAAUCUUGAUCAAUUUAUUUCCAGCACAUCUUGUAUGUCUUGAUGGAAUUGAUUAUUUCUCAUCAUGAAUCCAGGGAGGGGAAAAAGUUGAGGCAUUGAAGCUAGAAGAACCAGUAUUUAAGGACAUGCGUGUGAGUACAAAAGGAUUUUCAAAAAUGAAGAACCUGAGACUACUCCAGAUUGAUCAUCUUCCUCUUGAAGGGAGCUUCAAGGACAUGUUUACAGAGCUUAGAGUGUUAAAAUGGCAUCAUUGCCAUUUGGAACACUUCCCAUCGGAUUUGCAUCCGGACAAACUUGUUAUUUUGGAUGUGAAAUACAGUAGCCUCAAAGAACCCCCUAGUACAAAGGUCUGAUGUUCUACAACUUUACUCCUUGAUUUUAAACAAUUACAUCUGCUAUUCCGGAGUUAAUACAUUCCUUCAUUUGUUCAGCACUUAAGGUGUUUGAAGAUAAUGGAUCUGAGCUAUUGUGAGAGCCUAAUGAGAACUUCAGACUUCACUGGUUCACCAAUGCUUGAGAAACUAGUUUUUAGAGGUUGUUCGAGUUUGACUGAGGUGCAUUCAUCAAUUGGAUAUUUGGAGGUUCUCGUGUAUUUAGAUUUCACUGGGUGUAAGAAACUCGAGGGACUACCUGAUAGCAUCUGCAAGCUGAAAUCGCUCGAGAAGCUAUAUCUGAGUGAUUGUACAAAUCUACAACAAUUGCCUGCUGACAUGGGGAAUCUUAGGCGUUUGACGGCACUUUAUGUAAUGGGAACAUCUAUUAAACAACUUCCAGUGUCUUUUGGACUUCUGAAGAAUCUUCAACUCUUGGAAGUGGGAAAUGACUGGAAACUUUCAGAACCUAAAUCUCUUCUUUCCAUCAUUUCAUCCUUUUUAACAUCAAAAGAUCAUGAUAUUCUUCCAUCUUCUAUUAUAAAUUUACCGUCCUUGGAAGUUCUAAAAGUUCCUUUCUUCAAUCUGUGCCAAAGAGAUAUUCCCAAUUGUCUUGGCCGAUUAUUCUCACUGCAAGUCUUAGAUUUAAGUGGAAAUAAUUUUCACAGCCUACCCUUCACUCUUAGUCACCUAUCCAACCUAAAAACCCUUAGACUCUAUGGAUGCCCAAAUCUCCUUAUGCUCCCAGAUCUUCCUUGUAACCUAGAAGAACUAUGCACAAGGAAUUGCAGGUCACUAGAAAUGCUUCCAGAUUUGUCAAGUGCAAACAGAUUGCAACUGUUGGAUUUCUGUGAUUGCAGUAAAUUGAUUGAGAUUCGGGGCCUUGAGAACCUUAAAUACUUGAAGUAUAUGAAUGCAAUAGGUUGUAUGCUCACAAAAAAUCCUCUAUCUGAAGGCUUCUUCAAGGUUGGUUGCUCUGUCACUUGUAUAAAUCAAACACAGUUUUUCCCUUGUACACUUCUCUAUGUGACACCUUUUCUCUGAUCCAUGUUUAGGCAAAUUCUGCACCCAAUGGCGUAAAUGUUUUUCUUCACUGCAAUGAGAUUCCUAGUUGGUUCGGCUAUCGGGUUGUGGGAUCUUCAAUAUCUUUGAUUGUGCCACGAUACAUGGAACAAGAAUUUCUUGGCAUGAUUGUUUGGGCUAUUUGUGAAUCUCAAGGAGAACAUUGUGAUGGAACCCCCAUUGCCAUCAUCACCGACCUGACAAAUGGGAUUGAAUAUCCUCUUUUUGGUGUAGAUAUUGCAAUACGGUAUGAGAGUUAUGCAUGGGUGAGCUAUAUGCCAAGACGACAUUUCAAACGCCCAAUAAAAGGCGGUGAGAAAAUGAUGGUUUCUAUCAAAGAGCGUCAUUCAUCAAAAGAAGGUUUAAGAAAGAAGUUUGGGGUUCAUCUUUUGUUUGCAACCAGCCCAAAAGGAAAGUUAUUUCUUUUGAGCAGAUUGUGACAGAGAUGAUGGAGUUGAGGCCUUGCCUUUGGUUCAGGUUCAAUAUUUUUCCAACUUUUCUUGGGCUGCUGGGGUUUUGAUAAACAUCCAACCUGAGAACAAGUAUUGUGUGUAUGCAUUUUGUAAGACCUUCCUACUUUCAUUCUGACUAUAUAUAUGGUAGUUUCUAAAAAAAAAUUAUGGUUGAUAUUGUGGUAGCAGUUGAAUGUUAUGUACUUUUAGAAUUAGAUGUUUAAAAUGAUUUGGUUUUCUAUGCAAUACAAAAAGAGUUGAUACCUAAAAGUUCUCCUAAAUUAUUCACGUUUUGCUAGUAAAAUACUUAAAACUAUGAGGUGUUAUGUUACUUCUGAGCUUAUAAUGUUCUUUAAGCCAAAACCCCUGUGUUGCUGUUACCCCAGCAUUGUGACAUCACUCUCUUUGUAGUGUGUAGGAGCUACACUGUAGGGCCGUAGGCAUAGGCCGAAAAGAGCAUUCAUGUAGCAUCUUACAUUCAUUUUUUAAAACUAGUUAUUCUUAUUUGCUAUUUUUUCUUCUCUUUCUUUUCGUAUUCAUUUCUUCUUCUUCAGAACUCUACAUCUUUUGCUAAAAACAGUAAACUAGUUGAAAGCAUCGCCUUAGAGUAAAAGCAAAACUUAAUAUAAUUAGAAAAAUAUAAACCUAGUCAUACAUCUCUCUGAAUAAACCUUUUAUGAAGCUGUUUGACAAUCUUGAUGUCCAACACGAAAGAGCCUCAGCUGUUGAAGCAUGUUCAUUAUGAGAUAGCUAUAAUCCGUAAUUGCCAUCAAUUGGAAAGGUGUACAGGUAAAACACUACGUAUCUGGACUAUGCUUUGUCAGAACAAAUGGAGCUAUUAGAACCUGCAGAUUUAUAUCUUCACUCUUUAUGCCAUAUAUCAAAUGGUUUUUUCUGGUUCAUUUUAUUUUUAUCCGAAAAUGUGAGAUCUUCAAGUACAAAUAUUAGGAGUUGUCCCUCAAAACUUGUUUUCUAAUUUAGACUGCUUGCUAGGCCAGAAUAAAUGGAACAGCGGCUGCUACAAAUAGUAUUAUUCUUGUAUAAUAAGAACUAAAGAGAACUCCCAUUUUUCAGUUCUGGAGUGUGUAAGUAAGCAUGAUCCAAUGAUUGGGACAUUCUGCUUAUUGCUAAGAGGACAGUAGAAACCCAUGAAAUUGAAACCGUUUUCUGUUAUAAAUUUAAUGCAUGUUAUUUCCAGUUUAUUUUGUUUUAAGUCUGAAGAAGUGAGAUUUUUAAGUACUAAUCUUAGAGAGUUAAAAAAAAUUUAAAACUGAGAUGACAUGCUAGGCUGGUGGAAGUGGAUUACUGGUUGCUACACUUACUAUCAUUCUUGUGUUGAUAAUUAGAAUUAAAGAAAACUUGCAAUUUUCAAUCUUGAAGAGUCGGCAUGAUCAGCAGUUUGGGAUAUUCUGGUUACUGUUCAAAGGAUUGCAAGUAACUUCAUGAAAGUGAGAUAGUGGAGUUUGAAAUGCUCUGUGUGGUUCCUUGGUUUGUGUUCUAUUACAACAAAAGGUUAUAUUUGAUCUGUGUUGUGUAUCAUGACGUAGUGUGUUUUUGAAUUUUUUUUUGAAACUGGUAAUGUUGUAUUCCUCAGCAUUAAGGUAUGCUGGAGACCUCCAAAAAGGUAGUAACAAGCUAAAACAAGAGACUAAUUACGGUAAUCCUAAAAGAUCUACUAAUUGUUCAGCAUUUUCUAUACAAUGUUCUUUACACCAAAAGUAGAAAGUUGCAAUGCAGCUCCCUUUGAUUUUCUGAAUGCUGUUGAAUCUAUCUUCAAAGUUUCUUCCAUUCCUCUCCCUCCAGAUAGUCCACCAGAUACAGUGUGGGAUUAUUCUCCACCACUUCUUCUGUGUCUUGCUUCCCCCUCUCCUAAUCCAGCAACUUAACAAGUCUGCUGUGUGCUCUGGCAUUGACCAUUUUGUCUCUGUUGAACUGAGGAACAUAGUCCAAAGCUGAGAUGCGACUUUACAAUGGAGAAACAGAUGAUUAUCUGUCUCUCUAGCCUCACUACAUAACAUGCAUCUCGACACAAUUGGCAAUCCCUUUUUCUGCAGGAUCUCAUGAGUGAGGCAAGCUUUCGUGAUUACUAACCAAGCAAAGCACUUGACUUUAGUAGGAGCCAUACUUUUCCAUACAUUCUUCCAAGGACCUAUUUUGUUCUCAAGCAUCCAAGAUACCUCUUUUCUAUAAAUUCUGCCUACAGAGAACUUGCCAUCCUCAUCAUGUUUCCAUCUAAAAGUGUCAUCUCGCACUUGCGUUUGUUUUAAUUGUUACUCGACUAAUGAAAAACACUCAGUUGGAUGUUUGGAACUUUUUGGGACAUGUCUUUUGUCUUUCUAACCCUUCGUUAUAGCUUUCAAUUACUGUUCAAUAAUGAUUAUGGAGAUGGAUGUUGCUGAUUCUUCAUAUUGCAUGCUCUGCUUGCAGUAACUUGUGGUUCCAUUGUGGAUGUUUGCUUUCUCUUUGGUAUUCAGAACUAAAUCUAGGCUUUAGUUUAAGACAUUAAAUGUCAAGUAAUCUUUCUUGUUUUGGUAAUUUUUUCCAGGUUUAAAUACAUCUUACAACUUCCAAUUUCACUAGUGAUACAUGCCUCUUUUACUUUGAAAAUGCACUUACAAAUCGGCGUACGCUUUGGGCAACUUUUAUUCCAUGAAUACAGGCUUGUGUUCCUUUUCCAUUUGCUUUUUGAAUGCAUCUGUAAUAUAGUCGUAUGAUCCAUGCGAUACAUUUCAGUUAAUUAUUAAAAGUUGCCAAGAUAUAAACAAAGUCCCUCCCGUAGUCUGACGUAAAAUAAAGAUGUGUUACAGGUAUCAUUAUCAUAAUUAUGCUCUAUAAUUCAAUCAGAAUCUCCAACAACCAUGUUUGUCAACCAAGAUCUAUAUACAUAACUAGUCAUGAACCUCAACCUAAACUGUGUUUCUCCUGAUUUACUCAUGUAAUGGAUGGGAUCGUGGCCCCUCCCUCCAUCUUAGAGUCUUGACUGUGACUUCAUCAUGGAAGAUUGCAUCUUUGUCAAAAGCUUAGUUGAAACAGGGUCAAUCCAGUUAACAUGCACCAGGACUUUUAGUAUAGAUGCCCAGAUGAUGUGAUUAAGGUAAAUGACAACUUCUUGGGAUUUUCCUCCAGACCUUCUUGAUCAAGACAUUGAUGAUUUCGUUGGUAGCUCAGGUGUCCACUUUCUAGUGCAUAUCGAGUUAAAAAGGAAUAAACUUAAUAUCAAAUUCUUGUGCAAAAGUAUGCACUUGUCAUCACUGAAUAUUGUAUGUUUAUUGAUUAUGAUCGAUUAUAGAGUACCAAUAUAAGAAUAAUUUGGUUCUUGAAUGAACUAAAUCAUAUCAUCUUACCUAACUGACACCCCAUCUGAAAUACUCCAUUGAAACCACAUAAAAGAACAUGUCCUUUGAAACUAUGCAUGUGUAGGAGCACUUGCGGGAAACUCCUUGCCGAGGGCCUGUGCACCCCCGGGAUUAGUCGGGGCUCAAAGAGACUCGGACACCCGGUGCAAAUAAAAAAAAAAAAAAAAAAAAAAAAAACUAUGCAUGUGUAGGAAGUUCAGCUAAAGACUAACUUGGUUCUAUCCUUUCCAGUAAAGAAAAAAAGUAAGCUUAUCGACUGAACAAGGACUGUAAUACCGUCCGGAAUUGCUGAAACCAAUCAUUACAUGUCCAGCUUGAGAGUCAGCAUAUUGAUAAACUCGUUAAACAUCACGCUCAGCCCUUAAUACAGCAUCCAUCACAAAUGGCAACAGCUUUAGCAGUAAGAGAUGACCUGUCACAACUUGUCGUGGAUACACACAUUAAAAGAUUGACCAUAUUUGCCUGACGUAGAGGCAAUCAAGAAAGCCGCAUAAGUGAAUAUAUAACCUACAGAAAAGUGAGCUAAUCCAACCAAUAGUUCAGCCAUGAAACGAGCAAGCCAUUGUGGAAAAAUAUAAUCUAGAAUAGGUAUCAUUAAAGCCAGAAUAAGUACAGGUAGUGAUGCCAUCAAAGGGAAAAUUUUAUACAGGACCAAUGACAAUGAUAGGAAUAGUACAGAAUUGACAAUAUAAACCUCAUUCCAUUCUGACUGGGUUUUCGCUGCAUGAUCAAUCAACCUACCAUUAGCACAGAAACAUUAAUUCUUAGCUUCCCAAGAUAGUGUCGUUAACUUAAAAGGUUAGAUAACACAAGGAGUUCUGCUAAGUUCCAGUUCUUAUCUUUAGCAGGGCAAACUCUGUCUCUACUACUACCACAAGAACAAUCAGAUUUAAGACCAAAAUCCAUUAUACUAGAUCACUAGUACAAAUACCUAGAUUUAAAACUAUGGACACUACACCUUAUUUUCUUCCUACAAAAAUUUUGCAAACUACAGAUCUCCUUAUAAAAAGAAUCAGGUAUUUUGAAACAAUAAAUAGUAUAAACAACAGGUUUAGCAACCAGCAAUAAUUUAAGCACGAUUUCUUUAACCACACAGCACACUUUUCUUUCCAACCUUUUUGCUUCAAUAAAAGUCAGCCAUUAAUAAUUUAAUAUGAGCCAAAAACCCCAAUUGGACUCCAAACUGUAGUAGAUAUUUCUAAAAUUAGCUUUAGAGCAUUCCAGAAAAUUAGCCAUUAGGAGUAUCUUCAGUUCUCCAAGAUAUUCUUAAAGAAAAACACUUCAAGCUUCUCUAAAUUAACAAAUUAACCAUAAUAACAUUAAUAUCCCAGAAACCCCUAGGAGAUAUAUUUUAUAAAGCAAAACCUUGGAAACAUUACAUGCCUCUAACAAAAAUUAAAGAGUCACUAGGAAACAGGAAGCAAGACAACACUGGAAUAGCACAUUGUGAUGCCAUUGUACACCAAUCAUCAACUGGGGGCCUUAUUUAUUUUGUACAGCACAUGACAAUAUCCUAUUAGGAAAAUCAUUUUAUCAGGGGUGGUGGUGGAAGGAGAACUCAUUCUCAACAGAAAAAAAGAAAUCUUAGAUCAAGUUAGUUCCAGAUGCUCCAAAGGAAUUCCAAAAUGCAGCAGAAUCCCUCCUUUCAUUGAAUCAGUCCAAAUGUACAAUCAAAUUAUCAUACUUCAACUUUAACGUCUCAAACAAGUAUCUAAUAAAGCAUAAAAGCUCAUGUUGCAAGUACACACACAAUUUAUUUAAAAUAAUAAUAAUAAUAAUUAGUACAUACACAGUAGAGCUCGAUUAAGGAGUAACUCUUCUGCCAUACAGAAAUGCAUACAUUGUGUUAAAUCAAAUUAGGUGAGUUAUUACCUUCAUGAACUUCUCUUGCAAAUAGCAACACCGACAAAAAUGGAGAACAAUGUCAGAAAAGCUCCCUUUCUUGAGAGCAUAAACUCGGUCCAGGUCAAGGGCCUUGUAAUCUGAGUCAACACUUUCUGGAACUGUUCAUGCAAAGCCUCCAGUGAACCGGUGUUAUCAAUCACAAUAUCUGCCUGUGACCUCUUAAGAUCCAGGGACAUCUGUGCAUUUAUUCUGCUUUUGGCAUCCUCCUCCAUUGAUCCAUCUCUAAUCAUGAGCCGCUGCAGCUGUGUCUUAGGAUCAACCCAAACUACAACAAUGGGUUUAGUCCACUUAUCCAUCUUGGCCUCAAACAAAAGAGGAACAUCAAGAACAAUUAUGGAGCAACCCUUUAUCCACAGCUUCAAAACUUCCAUUAAAAUACCACGUGAGAUAAAUGGUGCUAGCAACCUACAUAGACACAAUCCCAUGUUCAAAACCUUACAUUGCAACAAAAACCAUUAUGUGAUCCUGCACCAAUUCAAAUCUUAGCCAAUCUGAUAAAACUAGGCCAAAAUAUAAUAUAAUUUGGAGUAAAGCAAGAAAUAAAUUAGUAGCCUCCCACAUUUUGUUAUUCAAGAUAUUUUUGCUGCUCCUUAAUUUGUUUCUCAAGAAGCCAAGAUCCUUUUGAGUGUCAACUUCAGCAGAAUAGAAAGCUAAUGCUAUAUUUCCAUUGGAUUAACCUCAAAGGCUACUAAUAUACUCAAUAAAAUACCGAAAACGGAAUACCAAUCCCCAGAAGCAGCAGCAGUUUGCCAAUGUUAAAGGUACAAUUUCAAGUGGCCAAUGUUUUUGAUCAUUGUUGUCAUAAGACAACGAUAUGGCCACAUUUUAAAAUGGUAACAUGUACAUAUGAACAUAUGAGUCAAAACAGCAGUAAAUAGUGGAAACAAUCAUUACAAAAACCCAACCAUGCUUAGGACUACUGCUUCACAAGGAUCCUAUCAUAUCAACUAGUGAUCCAUCCUCCUCUACAUAGUUUUCUUUACACCAAAAAUGAAACAAAAGAAUACAAUUCAUCUUGACUUUCUGCACAAAAUUGUAUUUGUCUUCAAAAAAUCUAAAGUUCCUUUCCUUCCAGAUUGUCCAUGCAUGCUGGGACAAGUUUCCACCACCUCUUCUGCCUCACUGCUCCACCAUCGUAGUUCCAACACAUCAAUAACUCACAAGUUGUUGUUGGCAUAGACCACCUGAGACCUACCAUGUUGAGAAAUAGUUGCCACAGUUGCCCAGCAAUGGAACAAUGUAAAAAUUAAUGACUGCUAGUUUCCCAAGUAGCACCACACAUAUGAUACCUAGAGCAUAGCUGGAAUCCCCUUCUUCUUAGAUUUUCCUGAGUAAGGUAGGUUUCUCUUGCUACUAGACAGGAAAACAUAGAAACUUAAAAGAAUCCCUUACUUUCCAUAUGAACUUACAUGGCCAGUGAUCAAUUUGGUGGUUUGACCUAGAUAAUAAGGUAUAGGAAGAUUUGACAGUGAAGACCCCUUCUUUGCCAGGCUUCCAGAUCAAAUGUCUUCAGAAUCUUUGAGACCAUGGAAGGAAUUUAAUAUCUUGAACAAUUCAACAACUCUUUCCAGUACCAAGUCAUGUAGUAGUCUUUUGAAAGUAAUGUUCCACCUCUGCACUCCCUUCACUGUUUCUAUAUUUGCUUCAGGUAGUGUUGCAAUGCUAUAGAAAUCAGGGAACAGUUCUUUCACAGAGCCAUCUCCAAGCCAGUCAUCAUUCCAGUAUAGAGUUCUUCUUCCUUUACCCACCCUUAUACCGGUGUUGUCAAUCAUAAAGUUCCAGGAAGAUCUAAUGGCUCACCCCAUAGAGGUUGUUGACAAUUCUUGUAUACCACUGUCCAUCUUGGCCAUACUUGUCAUGGAUAACCCUUCUCCAUAGAGCAUUAGUCUCCAAGUAAUACCUUCAAAACUACUUCACAAGCAAGCUUUGAUUAUGAGCAUUUAGAUUCCUUGUGCCUAAGCCUCUUUUCCUUUUGUUAGUAAUGAGACUGUUCCAAUUAACCAAAUGUACUUUCUUGUCUUUGUUGCCUUGGCAUAUGAAAUUCCUCCUUAAUGUGUCAAUUUUGUUCCUUACCUUACAAGGUGAGGAACCAGAGACAACUUUUAAUGUUUAAAAAAAAAAGGAACCAGCGAUAUGACAUAUGUAGAUAGUGCAUCCAGAUUCCAGAUCACAGUUUACCAGAACUAUAUUCUCCCAAAGAGAGAUAUUGACCCUUUUAGAUUGCUAGCCUCUUCUCACACCUUUCAAUACCCCAAUCCAGAGUUCUCAAGCUUUACUUGUUUCCCCUGGGAAGAGCCCUAGAUGAAUAGUUGGUAAUGACCCCGCUCACAUCUGAAGAUAGCUGCUAGCACCUGGAUGUUGGCAACUUCCUUAACUGGGAAUAGCAUGCUCUUACUCCAAUUAACAUGUAGCCCUAAUACUACUUCAAAGAUCACCAGAAUAACUCUCAGAUGUUUUACUUGGUCAAUAUCAGCAUCACAGAGUCAUCUGUUGUAAUCUCAGCACUAUUGUCCUCCCUGAUUGCAGCUUUAAACCCCUUCAGAAAAGACCAUUGUCCUUCACCACCUUAAACAACUGGUUCAGUCCUUCCACUGCAAUAAGAAACAGGAAUGGUGAUAGAGGAUCACCUUGCCUCAAACUUCUCACGGAAGGGAAAGGUCCUUCUGUGCACCCAUUCACCAAGAUAGAAAAUUUCACAAUCUUUAUAUCGAAGAGAUCCAAUUAAUCCACUUCUCACCAAAGGCCAUGCCUUUUAGAAAUUUAAGAAGGAAGGUCCAAUUAACAUGGUCAUGUGCCUUGAAGCAUAACAUCCAACAAAGUUGACUUAUUUCUAUAUUCGCUGUUAAACUUCAAGCAUAACAUCCCACAAAGUUGACUAAUUUCUAUAUUUGUUGUCGAAUUGUACUCUCAAUUAAUCAAUCAAAGCCUCAAGCCCAUAAUAAUUUGAGGUUGGCUAUAUGCUCUGUAUUGGUUCUCACUCUAUUCAGGCUACUUCAUUUCAUCACUCAAUAACUUGACUUUCUUAAGCCUAAUAAGAGUUCUAUAAAACUGGAGCUUCUCUAAAUGACUGAAUCUCACAUGUCUCUCUAAACCGACUUCAAAAUCUCUAACUAAACGGAAAAGACUAUGAUAAACACAAGACUUGGCGUAAAUGUAAUAAAAAAAACCAUGCCUUUAUCCUAAAAAAUGAUAUCACCUAUAAAACUGCAGGUUUCUACAUUUCACAUGUCUCUCUAAACUAACUCACAAAUCUCUAACUAAAAAGGAAAGACUACAGUAAACACAAGAUUAAUGUAAAUGUAACAAAAACAACUAUGCCUUAAUCCUUCAAUUUUCAAAGAGCUACUAAACUGCCAAUCCCAAAGAGAUUAUACUCUUUACUGACCAAAGUAAAAUAAAUGUCAUUGAUAAGAGAUGUUUUAAAUCUACAUAAAAAAAAUUAAAAAAAUAAGAGAUGUUUUAAGCAUUUAGUAUUAAUAUUCUGAAAUAUAACAGUUUGAUAGCAGUUUACUUAUGGUUUUUAUUUCUCUGCGUUCACACUUCAUGUUUACUUCUCUGAGUUCAAGUUCCAGGCACGGAAACAAGUUGUCUCAUUUGUGUGGAAAGAGAACCUAAGUUCUCAAGGAAGCUCCAAAAUCACCACACCAAAUCAAACCAGAAUCAGCUAUAGGAUGAAGUUUUCCAGAUAUAAAGUUUUUUUUCAUAUAUUUUGAUUGUAGAAAGGAACUAUCCUGAACCUUUUUUAUUAAUGUUACUCGGCGAACAUAAGAAAAUAAGAGGAAGUACUAGUUUUGUUUCUUUGGAUUAGACAAAAAGUAUCCAAUUUUUUGUUUUUAAUGACAAGGAAACCUGCAGCCGCUAUCCUUGGGUGCGCACAAGGUAAAGCCCCAGCUCCUAUGCAAUAACUUGCAAACCACAUAGGCAGGGGCGGACCCAUGUGGGUUCCAGGGGGUUCGCUCGAACCCCCUCGGCAAAAAAUUACACUGUAUAUAUAAGGUAAUUUUCUGUAUUUGUGUGGAUAUAUAUAUUUUGAACCCCCAGAGAUAGCCCAACAGCAGGUUCCCUGAAAAUUAACAGGGGCGGACCCACGUUGGUUCCAGGGGGUUCACCCGAACCCCCUGGGCAAAAAAUUACACUGUAUAUAUAAGGUAAUUUUCUGUAUUUGUGUGGAUAUAUAUAUUUUGAACCCCCAGAGAUAGCCCAACAGCAGGUUCCCUGAAAAUUAAGCCUCAUGUACAGGGUUCGAAUCCCUACAUUAGCGUUUUAUUUUUUUCUUUUACAGUUUCAUUUUUUUUUAAGGUUUCAGUUCCCUUUUUCACGUUUUCUUUAGUUUUUUAUUUUAUAAAACAUGCUAAAAGUGUGGUUUUAAACCCAAAAAAAUUCAAGGGUCCGCCACUAAAACUAUAUACUACUACUUUCUUGAAAUUUUAUUUUGUUGGCUUAUAUAUACACGUUUAUACUUUUAUUUUUCGCACCCCUUGAAACGAAAAUUAUGGGUCCGCCACUGCACAUAGGAGAGGUAACCCACACUAUGCAAGCCCGGUGCGACGAGCUCGACCCAGAAAGACUGAAUACAGGAUUAAUUAUCUGCUGAUCUAAUUGAAAGACGGAUUACAGGACUAAUUAUCUGCUGAUCCAUUUUUUCCUUUAUCAUAGCAUUAUAUCAGACAAGUUGAACGUGUAAAUUAUGUAACAAUAAACCAGGAAGACUAAAAAAGUAGAACUUCACUCAGCAACUAGUUCAUAUUUUCAUACCAAACUUUACCUAUUAAGAAGCUGACGUCUUCCCGGAUCAGAGAAUACUAUUUGACCUAGCUUUGCACGAUCAACUUCUCCAUUUUCCAGUAAGAUAUCCUCACCAAAUGCGGCAACAACCUUUUUCCAACCACCUGUUCCUUUCUUCAAAACGUUCUACAUAAUUAUAUUUUUUUUGUCAAUAUAUAGAGCUUGCCAAAAACUUGCACAAAUUUUAGCGGAUGGAGAUAAUAUGCCCAAAUUGACAGUUAAUCAAGCAUAAUAUUUUAAGACUCUUUAUAUUUGAUGCCCUAAAUAAACCUGGUAACGGAAUAGCAAAAGGAAAAGGGAAACGUAGUUACCCGAGCUACAAUGUCAGCAUCAACAAUGGGAAUACCAUGAGCCUUGAAAAGGUUGGAGACAGUGCUCUUCCCUGAAGCAAUCCCUCCGGUCAGUCCGACUAUCCUCAUUCUUAUUUUGGGAACAAAACAAGUGAUGAGGAACAACUCCAGUACUCCAACUGCUCAAACUCAGUUUCUUCCUCUGCUUCUCUCACGAUUCCAUCAACCAACUAGCUUCUGGAUUUGAGGAAAUCUUCAAAUCAAUUUGGAAUUGAACAAGUAGCUGGAGGUUCAUUACCAAAAAGAAUUGAAUACAGAACUUCUAUUGCACCAUAAACUACAAACUUCUUUAGUGAAGGUAGAAACAUUUUACACAUAAAAGCAUUAAAUAUGAACCUGUGAUUUAAGUUGGUGGAAAGCAUCAAAGGAUAGACACAUUAUCAUUAAAAAAUACACACAUCAAAGCACAGAGAGAGAACUCAAUCAUCUAAGAAGAUUAAUUUCAAUUCACGCAAUUAUCAAUCCAUCACACAUACAUGCUCAGUAUAGAAGUGGUGAUAAAAUCUUUACAUGGUUCUCAUUGCUCAAGAAAACAUAUUCAACCAAAACAUUUCUACCAUUGCAGUUUACUGGAGAAUAUGAAGCCGAGACAUAAAUUUUGUACCUCAAAUAUCUCAAUAGAGGUUCCACAACCACCAUCAUAAAUUAUGAUGGAACAAGUUUACUUGAGCAGAUCACAAAGAAAUAUUACAUAAGAGAAUACAUUAUCGGAGUAUUGAAUGGGUGUACCACCAAAGGUAUAGAAAAAUUGUUCAUUUUUUUCAAAUUCGGUUUGGUUCAAUUAGGUAUUUCUGAAACGAUUUCUUUUUUUUGGUUCAACUCUGUUACACCUAUUCGCCUCUAUCAAAGCCAGGAAAUUAAAUGGGAAAGUGAAGAACAGGUAAGGUCCUCUCGAACAAUAACAACUACUCCAUUUUUAUGAAUUCAACCUUCAACUGUAAAAGAAAAUCAACAUUCAAGUAGUAAACUAGAAGUAGCUAACCAAAUGGCAAGAGAGAAUAGUACCUUGACGCUGCUCUGAUUCGAGGUCGGAAUCGCCGGAGGCUCAGUCGGUAUUCAGUCGCCGGCAGAGUGGAGAUUAGGAAAUACAGAAUUUUGGGACAAUGCAAAUGCAACCAUUUUUUUUUAGAAAUCAAAAUAUUAUUAACUCCGUCCACUUUUAAGAGUUGAAUUAUAAAAAAUUUAACUAAUUGAUAUGUAACAAAAUGCAUUAUAUAGUACUACCUAAUAUGGGAAAGAUAUAUUAUAACUCAAUCAGAUUUCUAUUACUUAUAGGCCAAAUGGUCUGGUGGACCCUUGUACUUGUAUCAAUUUGUAUUCUGGACCCUUCUACUUAAUCACUUGUCAACUGAACCCUUAUAUUCAAUAAAACACAAUUUAACAAAUCCAUCUGACCAUUGACCAGGCUUAUGUGGCAUUAGAAUGUGUGAGUUGGCAAAAAUGUGUAACUACACGCUUCUUUAGGCGAGUGAAUAACAUUUUUGAGUUAAAAAAUAUUAAAAUUACAAAAAGUAAAUAAAAAAUUUAAAAACAAUUAAUUAAAAAAAUUACCUUACUUCUUCACCACUAUCCCAUCCUUUUCAACCAUUUUUUUGCAUAUCCAACCCUUCUUUCUUCUUCUCCACAAUCUGUUAACAUCAAUUUACCAAAUCUUGGGCACAUCUUGAGUCCACUGAUUAACCACGGAGGGAGAAAGCGGUGUUGGUGGUACUCGCCAGAGACCACAUUGAAUCGCAGUGGAGUGAGACCACCAACAAUAUUGAUAGAUACUGUGAAGUAUGUAACCUAUUCUUGCAUGCUUCCUUUUAAAGGAUCUGUUCCUUUAGUGGCUACCUGAGAAUGGAAAGCUUAUGUUGAAAAUGCAUCUUCAUUGAUCCCUGAACAAUUUUGUAGAUUCAGGUGAAAUAUAGUGUUUACACCUUGCAUAGCUUUCAUUGGUAGAUUCAGACAUUGCAACGUCUUUCAUGAAUUAGAUCUGAUACUUCUCGGCCAGAUCUAGUGAUGACCAGGCUUAGGUUGUUGGUUUUGUAAAGGUUGGAGGAGGAAAGGCAAAUGGUUAUGGUGUGCGGUGGAGAUGAAGACAGGUGAGGAGAGUAUAUGCGAUUUCGCCGGCAAAAAUGGCGACGACGGCGGCAAUGGCUUCUCCGGUAUAUUUUGGCCGUGGACAGUGAAAUUGGGGAGAAUAAGAUAUGGAGGUUUACUUUAAAGAAUAAUUUAAAAUUUUAUUAUUUUACCUUUUAUUAAAUAAUUUUGGUUAAUAAUUUAAAAAAUAGUUAUGAAAUAAUUAUGACAUGGCACUAAUAUAUAUGACGUGGAUAUGACAUGUCAUUUAUAUAAAGGAGAGUGAGCUACACACAUGGUUAGCGGGGCUUAAAAGUUUCAUUUUAAUUGAGUUUAAGGGUCCAGUUGACAAAUGAUUAAGUAGAAGGGUCCAUAAUACAACUGAUACAAGUACAAGGGUCCAUCAGACCAUUUGGCCUUACUUAUAUUAUGAAGUAACCGUCAAAUGGUAAUUUUUAUUAAUAUAUUAAAAAACAUUACCUAAACUAAAACCAAGAAAUUUGGGAAGAAAAUUUAGUAAGUUGAAUGGCUAAAACGACUAAUAAGAAAGAGAAUUUUUCAUAAACAAUGAGAUUUUGGAGUUUAUUUAUCAUAAUAUAGUAAUAUUUUUUAUUUAUAUUAAAUGUAGCAAGACUUUUCCUAAAAAAAAAUGAUGUGCAAUAUAGUGUAUAAGAACAUGAGGAUGUUGUAUCAUAAAUAUAGCCACAAUAAAAAGAAGAAAAUUGCGAUAGAAUGUUUAAAAUAAAAAUAAAAAUGGACAUCCUUUAAAAUGAAUUAUAAAAGUAAAAUGAAUUUAUAUCUAAUGUAGUUUAUUAAUCAAGUUAGUUGAUCAGAUCUUGGAUCUUAGAAGUAUGAAGAAUUCUACUCAAUCUCGAGAUGAAUCACUUUAAAGCAAAAUCAUGGGUUAUAGCCUUAGGAACCAAUCCAUAGAGUAUAAGAUUCCUAGAACCCACAUAAACAUAAUGAAACUCAUUUAUUCAUAUAUGAGAAAUCAAGUUAAAUAAUAGAUUAUUCAGAAAAAAAUAACCGAUAAGCAUAUAAUAUAUAUUUAUAUUAACUAGCGAUGGUAAAUAUUAUUAUAGAGAUAGUCAAAUGUAUCGAAGCUAAAACAAGAAAUUUGCCUUCUGGGUCAAUCUCAUCGCAUCGGAUCGGACUUAUCUAGUGCGGGUUAUCUUCUUUGUGUAAUUUACAAGCUAUUGUAUAGAAAUGAGGAAUUUACUCUUACACCCAAAAAAUAGCGACAGGUUAACGUCCUCUUCAUAAAUUGGUACUCAAAAAUGAAGAAGGCCUAAAAUUAAUGAAGACCCAUAGUAUGAGGCCUUUUAAGGUCAUCACUCACCAACAAUUAUGGGCCUAAAAAUUCUCAUUUCACUAUAUUUCUCACAACAUAUUAGUGAAUAACUAGUCUUCCCCGUUUUUUAUUUUUAGAUUUUAACUUAUAUGGACUAACACUGUAAUUUUCAUACUUUUAAUAUAUUUUAAAAGUUACUAUAUAAUUAUAACAGGUUAUUUACUGCACUCAUUAAAAUUAUCAAAUUAUAUUACUGCCACCAAAUAAUAAUAUUGUUAGUGUACGAAAGAUUCAUUAUCUUUUUUCGAGGAAAUGAGAUCUCUUUCUCUUUUACAAUUUGAAUUAAAGAAAAUGUCUUUUUUUUAUUUUUAUAUCAUGUAAGUAUGAAAAAAUAGAUAAAUCUAAAAAUAUUGAUAAAAGACUAAAAACCCAUUUCUCCCUUAUUUUUCAGCCUUAUUUAAUUAGAGAAAAAGGUAUUUUUCACUUUCACAAUUAAAGAGACGUAAUAAGUAAUCAAUAAAAUUGAGUGGGAUAUUAAUUAGAACAACUUUCCCAUAUAGCAAACAUAAAAAUCAUAUUUGUAUGUUAUAGCUAUAGGUUGCAUAAUUGCGCUCCAUAACAAAUUUUAUGUUUGCUAUGGAGCUUUUGAUUUGUAUAAUUCGCUCGAUACAUUCAAUUUUAUACAAAUUGUUCAGUUUUGUAUAAAUUCAUUUAUACAUUGUAAUUUGUAUAAUAAGAUCUGUAUUUGUAUAAUUAUAAGUGUAUAGGACAAAAAUAUAUGUAUUUGUAUUUGUAUAUACACUUUUCUCUCGCUUUAUACAAAUACAAAUGCAUUUUAUACAUUUUAUACAUGUGUAUACCGAAGGGGUAAUUGUAUACCGAAAAAGGCUAAUUGUAUACCGAACCAGAUGACAAAAAAAUGGGAUGUUUGCUGCGAAUUACAAAUAAAAUAAACUAUGGCUAUAUCAUUUAAUUUGAAUUAAUAAUUUAUUAUUUUAUACAAUUUUCCCUAUUAAUUAACCACCAAGCUUAAUUUCUUGACAAAUAUAAUACUAGAAUACGUCCACCUUUUAUUUAUAUUUCUUGCUGUAGAAAACAUGUUCAUAUAUAAAAGGGAAAAUAACGCGAAAUGAAAAAUAUCUAGAAUAUAUUAUGUAAUAUAGUUAUAGUUUCGAUUAUUUUUAAUCCGUGGCUACAAUUUGUGAAAUUUUGCUAUUCGAUUUCCUAAUUAUAUAAAUUCAGAAUUUGUAUAAUUUGGUUCAUGAUUGUAUAAAUCCAGAAUUUGUAUAUGCUUACGCUAGCUAUUUGUAUACUAUUUAUAAGAAAUUCAUAAUAAAUUACUUUGUUUGUAUAUUGGCAAGUGGAAUAUACAAACAUAGUUCUGAAAAGUUUCUAAAUGUAUAAAUUCAGAGUUUGUAUAUACUUACUAUGUUUGUAUAUUCGCUCGAAAUAUACAAACAGACAAGUGAAAUAUACAAAUCACAGCCUUCAUUUAUAUAUAUUUAUCAUUUUUGUAUAUUUGCAAGCGAAAUAUACAAACGGGCAAGCGACAUAUACAAAUCACAGUCUCCAUAGCAAACGGAACUAUAGCUAUGGAGCGCAAUUACCGAAAUUAUAGUUAUAGAGACUUAUUAUGUCUAUUAUUUUUGUUAUUUUUGAAUUUUUCUCUAUAUAAAAACUAGGUGUAGACUUCGUUGAUCUGGUAGAGUCAUUGAAGAGAAGAGCUAAGGAGAUAGAUAUUGGGACUGUUGGGAACAAUUCCUUAGGUGUUACAAAGACCGUUGAAACCUUAAAAUUGCUCAAGUUUAGUGGAAAUUUGAAGAAAGAAAAAAAACCUAUAGAGAUAGAUUUUAGUUUUUUCCUCCUUUAAGCAACGAGUUUUUCGUGCUAAAUAUUUGUAUUGAUUUACUUUAUUCCGUAAUUGUAUUGAUUUACUUUAUUCCGUAAUUUAUCUUCUUGCAUAGAUGCUUAAAGAACAUGGUUCUUUGAGUGCUUAGGUAGCAGUCAAACCAACAAUAAGUACCCAUUAAUAAUCAUAUAUAUUUAUCUUUUAAAUAACCUGAUAGUAUCAAACUUUUUUACGUACACAUGCAAUAAUGUAUACAAACUAGGGGUGUACAAAACUGAACCAAACCGCAAACCGAGUCAACCCGAAAAAAAACCUAACUAGUGGUUUGGUUUGACUUGGUUUGGUUUUGAAAAAAAAACCUGACUAUAUUUGGAUUGGUUUGAUUUUAAUUAAAAAAAACCAACCCGACAUUAUAUAUAUAAUUUUAAAUUUUUAUUUUAUACAUAAAAAUAUUUACUUUGAUAUAAUUUUUAAAUAUUUCUUAUACUUUUCNNNNNNNNNNNNNNNNNNNNNNNNNNNNNNNNNNNNNNNNNNNNNNNNNNNNNNNNNNNNNNNNNNNNNNNNNNNNNNNNNNNNNNNNNNNNNNNNNNNNNNNNNNNNNNNNNNNNNNNNNNNNNNNNNNNNNNNNNNNNNNNNNNNNNNNNNNNNNNNNNNNNNNNNNNNNNNNNNNNNNNNNNNNNNNNNNNNNNNNNNNNNNNNNNNNNNNNNNNNNNNNNNNNNNNNNNNNNNNNNNNNNNNNNNNNNNNNNNNNNNNNNNNNNNNNNNNNNNNNNNNNNNNNNNNNNNNNNNNNNNNNNNNNNNNNNNNNNNNNNNNNNNNNNNNNNNNNNNNNNNNNNNNNNNNNNNNNNNNNNNNNNNNNNNNNNNNNNNNNNNNNNNNNNNNNNNNNNNNNNNNNNNNNNNNNNNNNNNNNNNNNNNNNNNNNNNNNNNNNNNNUUUAAUUUCCUUUAAUAUUUAGUCAUGUAACUAAUACUUAUUAAACUUAAUUUUAGCAUGAUUUAGUACUUUUAAAUUAUGAUCAUUUUCAUUAUGACUUGUUAAUUUGCAAUAUUUGUUUUACGCGAUUUCAUUAUUAUUAUUUUUGUUGGAUAUUUUAGUGUCAUUAAUCAUAUCAUAUUGUGUUAUAUUUUUAAGAAAUAUCUUACAUAGUUAUAUUUUGGUAGGACUAAAGAAAUAUUUGAAGUACAAGUAAAUUAUAUGUUUGUAUGAAUACUUUACCGGAAAAACCUGAAAAAUCGAAAAAUCCGAAAAAAUCCGAGGUUGAAAAAUCCGAAUUUUAUUGGUUUGGUUUAUAAAUUUAAAAAUCCAACACAAAUUAUUUGGUUUGAUAUUUGAAAAACCCGAACCAAUACCCGACCAUGUACACACCCCUAAUACAAACUUAUACUCAAAAUAAAUAGAAAAACUAGUGGUAGAACAAAGGACACAACAUUAUAGACAUAGAUGUGUGUGUGAAUAGAGGAUGGGCUUAGGAGACAAUCUUAGAGAAGAAAGAUUAUCUUGAAUCAUCAACUACUAUGUAUGUGUAUCAAGUCAUGCGGACUGUCCAUUGUGAAAUAAAAAGGAAGAAAAGAUAUAGAAAAAGAAAAGUAGAAAAUGUAGCUAAAAAGGUACAUAAAUAUAUAGCAAUUGGCCUACCAUGUUAUCUAAAGACCCUAUUAUUAAUUUUGAUAGAAAAAUCUAACAUAAAGCCUUUUACAAGAACCUUCAUUAAGUUUGGACACAAAAUGAUAUGCCUUCUAAAAAGAGUUGUUUGACUUGAGCCUUUAAAAGUAGUCUUUAUUGUCUAACCUUUUUCUUUUCUAAACCUACAUUUAAUUUUUGAUUUAGUGUUUUUUCUCUCAAACUUGGCCAAGACAUCCAAGAAUACAUAUCAAGAUAUUUAAUUGCAAAUGUAAUUUGAUUUUAGCAUGUAUGUUUUUUUUAUGUGUUUGAAGGGAGAUUUCAUGCCACAGUCAAUUAUUUUUAUCGUGGAUCAGGAGUUCACGAGUUCAAGACAUGAAAAUAUUUUUUUAAGAAAAUGUAAGGUAAGAUUAAGUAAAUAUUAGAUCUAAUGUGGUUCAAUCCUUUUAGAUCCAGUCAAGUCUGAUCCUUAAUUUAUUUAAAUUUCACACAUAGUGUGAGUCUUCAUGUAAGAGGUUUCUCUCUUUUUUUUUAAAUAUUUAUUUAUAUUAUUAUUAUUAUUAAUUCGCUAUUCUUUUCAAUUUUCUGAUUUGUGGGAUUUAAUUUCCUUUUCUUUCCUCCACAUUUCUGUUUAUUUUUCUAUUCUGUAUGUUACAUAUGAUAUUGUAUUACUACCAGUGAGGGUUUCUAUAUAAGUUUAUAAAGCAAAAAAUGUCAUUAAUUAACUAAACGUUAUUAGAUGUAAAAAUUAACGAAUGCUAUUAAAUACUUUAGCACAUUUAGAUGAUAGGUUUUGAAAUAAUUUCUUGCGUCUUAAUUAAUUAGUUUUAUAAUAAUAAUAAUAAUAAUAACAAUAAUAAUAGAUAUAUAUUUAAAUAAAUUUUUUUGAUGAAGAACGUUCAACAGAUCAUCCUUCAGCGAUUCUACCAAUUCUAGUUCCGUAAUAUUUGAGGAUCCAAAUAAUCGUUUUAAUUAUUAUUUUAACUAUCUAAUUUGAGACCACAUAUAUAUCAUUAAAAAAAUGCAUUUUCUAUUGACAAUAUUGCAACAUCAAAUGGUUAGUCUUUUUCUUUUAUUUUCUUUUAGGAAAGAAAAGACGACAAACGAAAGUCAAUUGAAAAAGGCACUAAUAAAUUUAAAAAAACUAAAAAAAAUAAUUGAAAAAGGUACAAAGAAAAAUUAAUAAAUUACUUUUCCCAAAGAGAAUUCCAGUUGCACUUUUCUCUUUUUUGUUGGAGUUUUUUUUUUAAUAUAACUUUUUCUUAAUUCGAAAUAUUAAAAUUAGAAAAGCAAUUGUAUAGUAAUAUUAUAUAAUAGAGAAUUAAUACUUAAAAGGGAAGUUGACAAAAUGCAAUAAUUUUGAGAGUCAGAUGGUAAGCUUUACACGAUGGAAAAAAUGGAAAAGAUUAAUGGCAUGUUUGAUAAGUUUUUGGUAAGUUGCUUCUUUAUUACUUAAUAUUAUUUAUUUAUUUUUAAUAAAAAAAUAUUUAUUUUAGAGAAUUGAGUUGUUUGAAUGAGCUUUUAACAGAAAUAAGUGUUUUUACUAUCGUAUUUAUUAGAAUUAAUGUUGUCCAAUUCUAGAGAGUUUAUUUUGAUAAUUAUUCUACUAAUUAUUAAAAUUAUUGAAUUCGACAGAAAGCAAUUAUAUUAGAGUAGAAAAUUAUUGCAGGAGUUGUUCACAGAGAGUUUAAAGACGUAGGCGGUAGGGCUAUGUCACUUGCACAUUUAUGUCUUUUUCAAUUAUAGUUGUUAAGCAUAUUUAAGAUAUCUAUUGAAUUAUUGAAUUUAUAAGAUUGAUGAUAUGGUCAUGGUCUUUCGAGCUAUAUAAAUACCUAUCCAUUUUGGCCUCAAACCUACAUCAUUGAGCAGGAAUGUGGUAAAUUACUCCCAAUACAUUUAUAUAUCUUUUUGUAUUUAAUCCAAGCAUUAUUCACAGAUGUACCCUACUCCCUUAACCCAUAUUUUAUUCCUAAAUUUUCCAUAUCCAAUUCUACUAGCAAUUAUCCAUUUACUUUAUGAAUCACGAAGUAACAAUGCUCAUAUGUGGGUGAAAUAUGACUUAAAAAAAGAUAAAUUCACCCAACAUCACAUUUCAAUCAUUUACAUAUGCAUAAUACAGAUUCAAACGUCUUAAUUAAUCUUAAUAAAACCAAAUGAGUCCUUAGGACCGUUCCAACCACAAGGUGCUAAACACAUUAUUAUUCCAAAACUCUAAUAAAAAAAACACAAAUAAGUGUAACUACAUCACCAAUGUGUGGAAAAAAUCAAUCUCAAGCUAGCAAGAACACAAAGUUCUAAUACUCCAUCAUUCAUGCAAAAACAAAAUUGAUUUUAGUUGUGAGAUCGAUUACAAAUGCUUCUUAAUUGAUCAAACAACUCCUUGUAUGCUUGUAAAUUAACUAAACAAUAAAUAGGUAGAGAUAUUUUAUUAUUUUUAAAACCAUGAGUUGAAUUAAAUAAGCUCAUUCAUGAAUUCUUCAACUAAAAUCCUUGACUCACCUUCCCAAACACAUUGAAUAUGGAUAAAUAGUUAGAUUUGUGUCGUUAGGCAAGUCUGGAAUUGAUGUUAUGUCAUUUUCUUUUACCCCAUUAGUCCUCUAUUUUCAACAUCAUUCUAAUUAAUGGUGGUCCUUCAUGAAUUAUAUAUCUAUGGUCCCUAUUUGUUAAGAAUCAAAACAUAUAUAUACACAUAUAGGUAGGGGGGACCGGGGGGGGGGGGUUUAAAAAAACCCCUUAUUNNNNNNNNNNNNNNNNNNNNNNNNNNNNNNNNNNNNACGGGGAGAUGCGGCGGGGGGCCGGGGGGGGGGGAUUUACAUAAACACCUUAUAUACUAUUCUCCAACAUUCACAAUAGGAAUUGGACCCCCUCUUAUGUGCUUUGCACAUGUACAAAAAAAUAUGUAUCUUAUCAAUUAUCACACACUUCUAUUGAGGGAUGGGUUUUCACGUGAAGGAUGGAAAAAGGGGUGUGUGUGUGUGUUCAAUAAUUCUAUUUAAAGGAAAUGGGAAUAUUAGUUGAACUAAUUGAAAGGAUAAAUUAGAAUUCAAUAAUAACACCAUAGCAUAAUGUUGCAAAUGAAAUACUAGUUUAAUUCGAUAAAGAUCGGAGUUUAAGAGAGAAAAAAAAGAAAGACUUUUUAAACUUGUGUUUCUGAGUGUGUUAUUAUGUAUAAUAUGCGCUGAGAAAAACAUCUUCUCAUUAUAAUUAAAAUAUAAGUUUUCAAAUAUAAAAUUUUGUUUUUUUCUUAAUUAAGAACGAACUAAUAAUAAAAUUGAACUUGUAUCCUUUGAAUUGUAACAAAGAAGUUGCUGAAUGUAAUCAUUUCUACUUCGCGUAAUCUAGAUUCUAUAUAAAAUUUCACCAAAUAUUCUCUACACUAAGAAAAUAGUAUCAUAUAAAUAAUAAUAAUAUAGAAUGAAACUAGAUAAUGUUGUCCGUGCUAUGCACGGGCCUAAUAAUAUAAAUGGUAUGUUUUGGGGCUAAUAAUCGAGUUUUUGAAGCGAUUGUUUGCGUGGAUAAAGGAAUAAGUUUUUUUAUUUGUAUUUUCUUUGACGCUAUUUAAGACAUAAUAAGACUAUCCACAUACAACAUUUUUGAAAUAUUUUAUGUUGCCAAUUAUCAUCAUUUAUAGUAUUUUUACGAUAGAUUCACUUCAAGAAUCAGUGGAAUUUUUUAUAUUUUUUUUCAAAACAUAUUUUAUGUUGUCAAUUAUCAUGAUUUAUAGUAUUUUUACGCAAUUUUUAAAUAUAAAAAAAAAACCAACAAAAAUAAGACAAAUAAAUUAAAAUGGACCCAAUAUAUGUUAUUUUUGUUGUCUCAAUUUAUGUGACACAAAUGAAAUUUAAAGAGUCAUNNNNNNNNNNNNNNNNNNNNNNNNNNNNNNNNNNNNNNNNNNNNNNNNNNNNNNNNNNNNNNNNNNNNNNNNNNNNNNNNNNNNNNNNNNNNNNNNNNNNNNNNNNNNNNNNNNNNNNNNNNNNNNNNNNNNNNNNNNNNNNNNNNNNNNNNNNNNNNNNNNNNNNNNNNNNNNNNNNNNNNNNNNNNNNNNNNNNNNNNNNNNNNNNNNNNNNNNNNNNNNNNNNNNNNNNNNNNNNNNNNNNNNNNNNNNNNNNNNNNNNNNNNNNNNNNNNNNNNNNNNNNNNNNNNNNNNNNNNNNNNNNNNNNNNNNNNNNNNNNNNNNNNNNNNNNNNNNNNNNNNNNNNNNNNNNNNNNNNNNNNCACAUAUCAUCCAACACUUGUCAUGUAGUAAGUAGUAGAUAUUCCCACUUAUUACAAUAAUAAUAUAAAUUUUAAAGGUACAACCAUAAAAGAAAAUGUACAACACUAUCAAACACAUAUCAUUCAACACUUGUCAUGUAGUAAGUAGUAGAUAUUCCCACUUAUUACAAUAAUAAUAUAAAUUUUAAAGGUACAACCAUAAAAGAAAAUGUACAACACUAUCAAACACAUAUCAUUCAACACUUGUCAUGUAGUAAGUAGUAGAUAUUCCCACUUAUUACAAUAAUAAUAUAAAUUUUAAAGGUACAACCAUAAAAGAAAAUGUACAACACUAUCAAACACAUAUCAUUCAACACUUGUCAUGUAGUAAGUAGUAGAUAUUCCCACUUAUUACAAUAAUAAUAUAAAUUUUAAAGGUACAACCAUAAAAGAAAAUGUACAACACUAUCAAACACAUAUCAUUCAACACUUGUCAUGUAGUAAGUAGUAGAUAUUCCCACUUAUUACAAUAAUAAUAUAAAUUUUAAAGGUACAACCAUAAAAGAAAAUGUACAACACUAUCAAACACAUAUCAUCCAACACUUGUCAUGUAGUAAGUAGUAGAUAUUCCCACUUAUUAUAUAUAGUAAUGCUAUCAUUUCUACUUCACAUGAUUCGAAUGCUAUACAAAAUAUCACGAAAUGUGUUCUAUUAGACACUUGAAUAGACUAAUAAGAAAAUAUAUAGUACUCAUUUAGAUAGAGUAGGAUGUUAUUAUUUGUAGUUAGCAUGAUCCUGAUGAUCUCACCAAAUGUUCUGUCAGACAUAUUAUAAUAUAAGAUUUUGAAUAAACACAUAAAAUUUUCCAAGAAUUGUCUUAUCAAGCAAAAAAGCAAAAGCUAUCAAUUAUUGUAGAAUCACUAAAAUGAUAUUGUUGUGAAGUGAAGCAAGAGAAGAUGCCUAGUUCUGACUAAGACAACUAGAUGACAAGUUGUAGCAUAGGAGGUAUGGCUCCUAUUCCUUCUUUAAUCAAGUUUCUUCCUUUUUGUGGAGCAUUUAGAUUGGACUUUUUGCAAAUUUUCACUUUCCAAAAAGGCCAAUACAUAACAUGGGUUGGCAGGAGUUAUAGACACAAAUGUAGACACAUGUAUAUAGAUAUAGGAUAUGGGGAAGAGAAUUCAUGCUUUGAGCAUGUCCUUUUUUUCUUAGACAAUUCAAGAAGUGGAUAUAACAUGGGGUUGUCAUUAGUAUACAACAUAUAGGGGUGUAUAAAAUCGAAUCGAAAACCGAAUCAAACUGCAAAUUGAGUCAAACCAAGAAAAAAAUCCCGACUAGUGGUUGGUUUGACUUGGUUUGGUAUUGAAAAAAAAUCCGACUUUAUAUUUGGGUUGGUUUGGUUUUAACUAAAAAAAACCAACCCGAGACCAAACCAACCCGAAAUUAUAUAUAUAAUUUUAAAAUUUUAUUUUACACAUAAAAAUAUUUACUUUGAUAUAAUUUUUAAAUAUUUCUUAUACUUUUUCAUAGUUUUUUAAUUUUAAUUUUCUUUAAUAUUUAGUCAUGUAACUAAUACUUAUUAAACUUAAUUUUAGCAUGAUUUAGUACUUUUAAAUUAUGAUCAUUUUCAUUAUGACUUGUUAAUUUGCAAUAUUUGUUUUACGCGAUUUCGUUAUUAUUGUAGUAUUUUUUUGUUGGAUAUUUUAGUGUCAUUACUCAUAUCAUAUUUUGUGUUAUUUUCCUAAGAAACACCUUAGAUAGUUGUAUUUUGGUAGGGCUAAAGAAAUAUUUGAAGUACAAGUAAAUUAUAUGUUUGUAUGAAUAUUUUACCGGAAAAACUCGAAAAUCCGAAAAUCCCGGAAAAACCCGAGGUUGAAAAACCCGAGUUUUAUUGGUUUGGUUUGGUUUAUAGAUUUAAAAAUUCGACACAAAUGAUUUGAUUUGAUAUUUGAAAAAUCUGAACCAGGCCAACCCAAUCAUGUACACCCCUAAAUUACAACAUAUGCCAAACAAGUGAAAGGGGAUAGAAAAGAAAAUACUAUCAUAUAUAUAUACUAUAUAUGAAUCGUAACGAAGGAGUUGGAUGUUAUCAUUUCUACUAUACAAAAUUAAACCAAACGUAUUGUUAGACAUUAGAACAUACGAAUAAAAAAUUGUAUCAUAUAAACGGUAAUAAUGGAGUGAGAUGUUAUUAUUUCUACUUAGAAUGAUACAAAAUGCUAUAUAAAAUAUCAUGAAAUGUAUUCGAUCAGACACUAGAAUAGAUUAAUGAAAAAUAGUAUAAUUGGAAAUGUAACGAUAGAGUAGGAUGUUAUCGUUUCAACUUCACAUAACAUGGGUUGACAUUUCUACUUUGUGUGAUUCAGAUACUAUACACAAUUUGACCAAACGUAUUGUUUAACAUUAGAACAAACGAAUAAAAUAAUAGUAUCAUCUAAAUGGUAAAAAUAGAGUGGAUGUUAUCGUUUCUACUUCGCCUGGUCCAAACGUUAUAUAAAAUAGGGAAAAUGGUCUGAUAUACCCUCAACUUUGUCAUUAGAGCUGAUAUACCUUGUUAUGAAAGUGACUCAUAUAUACCCCUACUAUUAUACAAAUGGCUCAUAUAUAGGGGUAUAUAUGAAUCACUUUCAUAACGAGGGAUAUAUCAGCUCUAAAUGACAAAAUUGAGGCGUAUAUCAUACCCUUUUCCCUAUAUUUUAUCAGACACUAAACAAACUAAUAAAAAAUAGUACAAUUUGAAAUGUAACUAUAGAGUAGGAUGUUAUCAUUUCUACCUUGCAUAACAUGGGUUAGGCAAGAGUUAUAGACACAAACAUAGACAUGCAUAUAGAUGUAGGAUAAGAGGAAGAAAUCAAUUCAUGUUUUGAGCAUUAUCCUUUUUUCUUAGACAAAUCAAGAAGUGGCUAUAACAUGGGAUUGUCUCACAUAUUAAUUUUAGAAUACAACAUAUGCCAAACAAGUGAAAGGAGAUAUAAAAAUAACAAAUAAAAAAGGGGAAAAAGCCAAGCUAAUCUUCACAAAAGCUAUAUUUCCAUUCACACUUUAAAAAGGUAGCUAGGAGAUAGUAAUAAGUGGAUGAAAGCUUGGCCCUCUUUUUUUACUUUUUUCUUAGACAUAAAGCCCUUUUGGUUUUUGCUUUGCCUUGUUAUGAAUUAUAUAUAUAUAUAUAUAAUUCAUUGUUUGGUUUUUCUCUUUGUAAGAGUUCUUAUCCAUCCAUGUCUCACCUUCACACCUUCUAAUUUGGUGCCCACAUGAUUAGCAUUACCACCUUUGGUAGAUGAUCUCUUUAAUUUAAUGAGAUGGAAGAUGUGACCAAUCCGCUUUCGCCACCUAAGUUGCAUACGUGGCUUUGUAACAUGCUCUAUUAAUGCAACUUUAUUAGACAUAUUAUUAUUGUUAUUGUCACAAUGCUUAAUUAGUGACAACUUUGGUACUGUGCCAACUGCUCCCUUCUCCCAUGAGCCUACUCCAUUAUUUUCAAACUUUAUUGAGAUAAAAGAAUCUACAAACAACAAAAGAGUUGAGAGUUAGAUCUAUAAAAUAAUGAGUAAAAAACAAUGAUUGUUGUUAUUUUACUUGCAUUUAAAGUCAAUUCAUAUCAACAACAAAAACCAAAAAAAAAAAUCUCAAUAAAAAAGCUAGAUAGUCAUAUUUGAAUGAAUUACUAGUUAUUAGAGAGUUAUAAGCAGUGCUGGAGCUAUAAUUUUCAUUAAGGAUAAUGAAAAAAUAAAGAAGUAUAUAUACAAACUAGCUGAAGGGUUUCAAUAUAUGUACAUAAAAAAUAUUUUAAUCAAGUAUAAAAAGUAUAAUUUUUCACCGAAGAUAGCUCCACUCCUAAUUAUAAGUAUGCAACAAUUAUAUUAACUAUACUUCAUAUGCAAGGUUAAUUUGCGUAACACAUAAUUUUGUAAUACUAUAGUAUAAGUACAUGCACUUUUUAUGGAAAGUUUGCACAAAACUCAACUAUGAAAACAGAAUACAAUUGAAAAUAUAAAAGUUAAAAAGGAACAUGUAGAUAAUCAUAAAAAAUUUUUAUUAAAAAGGCACUUAUUUGGUGCUAGUCGUUAUUCACUUGCUACCUAAUGUUCAAAAUUACUGUUUUUUCCUAUUAACUUAUUUUUCAAGUAAAUUGGGUUUUGUAUCUUUGUAGUUUGCAUGUUGUAGUUUUUUGAUUAUAUAUUCACGUGAACUCAUAACUUUCGACCUGAACUAUAUGCUAGUAAAUUUGAUUUAAGUUCAUAGUUUUCAUAAAAUGCUUUAUUGUUAAAUGGAUAAAAGUAAUUGAGUAAAAUUUGUUGCUACAUUUAUCAAUUUUAUGCAUAUAAUAAUAAUAUGACAUAAAUGUCCAAAUAUAUAGAACCAAGUUAAAGUAAAGGCUGAAAAAUUCAAAAACAUCAUAAGUUCCCAAGAAAAGGGACCUGGCCAAAAGAAAGAAAGAAAAAAGGGUGGGGUGAGGGGGGUGGGUAGGGACACAAUUGCUGAUGCAAUAUAGAUUUAACAUGUUCAACUAAGUCCAACAAUUUUUAAAAAAUCUCUCUCUCUCUAUAUGUGUGUGUGUGUGUGGAGUUUAGUGAAUAGGAAAAUCUUUUACGGCUAAAUAACUAAAAUUUUAUGUUAAUUCCAUUUAGCGAUGAAUUUUAAGAAAAUUUAAUUAGUUGGGAGCUUUUUAGUUAUGGAUUAUCGAUGAAUUUUGUAGCUAAUUUCAUAUUUUCUUGUAACGAAGGGGAUUAUGAAAAAUUACAAUAUACAUGAAGUUGAAAUUAUUUUAUACCUAGAGCUAGCCUUUGACCUUAGAUUUUGAAAAUUUGUCUUUCACAUUACAUUUUGUCAAUCUAAUUUUCAAAUAUAUUUAAGCCAGUUUUGAGACUUUCACUCACAAAACUUCAGUAUUAAGUAAAAUACAUGCUCAAAUACAACUUCAGAAACUCAAUUUUAAAAUUUUAAGUUUUCAACUUCAAAAUCUAUAGCUUAAAAAGAACAUAUAAUAUAGCUAGGUUGAAUUCCCAAAGGUUUUUUCGCGUGUAUACUUUCAUCUUUUAUAAAUCUCAUUAAAAAUUCUGAUGGUCUCUUUAUCUAUAUGUAUGAAAAAAACAGUAAAAUUUCAACAAAUACGAAACUCUAGUGUAAAAAACAAUAAAUAAUGAUAUCAAUCAAUUUUAAAUUCUGAAUCGAUCCAUGAGAACUAAAGAAGGAGAAAAAGAGAAAUGAAUGGUUAAUUAUGUAGUAGUACCUUCAUAGCUACAAGUGGAAGAAACAUCAAUAUCAUGAAUAGUCUCUUUGCGUGAGUGUCUAAUAUCAAGACGAUUGAAAAAAGAGGUUAAAGCAAAUAUCUUUGGUAGAUAAUGCAUUCUUGAAUGUUCUUCUCCAUCAUCAUUAUUAAUCUUCAUCUUUUCUCUUAAAUUAAUAAUAAUCUUCUUCUUCUUCUUCUUAAUCAUCUUUUCUUGUUUAGAAGCUAAGAUUAAGAGUCUUUCAUUCAAACACAAAGCACAUACUCCCACAACCACUUCUUUUGGAUGGAAAUAACACAAACAACUAGUGUUGUCAUUCAUGUUGUUAUUAGUUAGUUUAGUUGAAGAGAAAGAGAGAGUAGUUUCAAGUUUAACAAAGUUAUAAGAGAAGUGUAACAAUAAAGAAUAUAUAUAUUGUGUGUGUGAAUAGAAUUGAAGGAAAAAGAAAAGUUUGUGUUUUGGGUGUUUUUAUGUGUGGAAAUAUAUAUGGCUUGAGCAAGUCUUUAACCCCUCCCCCACACUAUGAUCUUGACACGUAACUAAAUGUUGGUCUUUUGAUCGAGGAUGAAUUAUCAACAAUAAUUUAUGGACACAAUCUUUAAAACAUCUAAUCUGGUCUGAUGGAUAAAAAGAAAUAAUUUUGGGACAAAUUUUUAGUAGUAUAUUUUUUAAUUCUUUGUUUAAUUAUAAAGUUUGUGAUAAUUUAUCUCAAGAUUAAUAAUAAGUAUUGAAAUAAGUUAUCCCUGUCUCUAGGUGAAAUAAUAAUUUAUCUCGGGAUAAAAUAGUUAAAAUGACAAAAAUACACCUUCAACCCUUUUUUUAUACAUCACUUUUCAUAUCUUUUACAUGGAGGGUAUUUUUUUUUUUUUUUUAAUUAUAAAUAAACAACUUAAUAUUAAAAUUAUGCAAUGCAUAUUAUUUUUAAUAUAACAAAUCAAACAUAUUCCAUCAUAACUUGUCUUCAAACCAAACUAUCCCUAAAGUAUUAAUCACUCUUAAUUAAUAGUUCAAACUAUAUAUAUUAUCAGUGUAAGAAAUAACCAUAUUGUCGAGUUAUCUUCUCUUUUUUUUUUUGGUAAGUAACAUAUUGUACUAAGGGAAAAAUAUACAAAUUGGACCCAUUAGGUAAAAGUGUUUACCCAAAGUGGAUCCAAUCCAAUAUAUUUAUCCUGGUUGAAUCCAGGAUUCAAACUAAUUACCCGACCGCCCCCUUGUUCUAUUCACUAAACCCAUGCUUCUUCAUCUUUGAUAUCAUUAGAUCGUAUAUAUAUAUACUCUGAUGGUAUCGAUAGACUCAGAUGGUAUCAAGCAGUAAUUGAACAAUUUUUUUCAUUAAAACACUGCAUGUUCCUCGCUUUGAUGUCAUCAGAGUAUAUAUAUACUCUAAUAGUAUCAAAGAGUAACUGGGUAGUGUUUUCACUAAAACACUGCUUCUUCCUUAUUAAUAUCAUCAGAGUAUAUAUAUAUAUUGUACUUUGAUGGUUAAUACCAGUAAACACGCAUUAAUAGUUAAAAAUAGGACAUGGCCGCUUGUAGAUAAUUUCAAUUUUGGGGCUACAACUAUUAUUUUCCCUUGUAUUAAUCACCAAGUGAAACAUUACAAAAUCGUAGCCAAUUUGCGCUACUAGCUAACCUACUAAAAUAGAAAAACUAGAGGCCUAACCAAUUAUCUAUAGCAAAAAUAUUAAAACAUGAGUUGGUGUACAAUGUACAUAGUUCCUUAGUCCUUAAUUAGAGGCUCUCACAUUACACACAUAGUCUAUUUCUCUAGCUAUGCUAUAGUAUCCUUGAGACUUUCUCAUGUAAAUAAAUUAUGAUCCUUUAUAUAAAAGACAUGAAUCCUUUUCAACGUGCUAAGUCCCAACAUGUUUUUGGCUUUUUUUGCGGUCGUUGCUUUGUUUCGUCAAGUUAUCUUUAUAUGUUAUGGUAGGUAAUUAUCUUAUUUUUAAGAUUAGAAAUUUCAUUUUUUUUUUUUAAAUCUACUUAAACCCUCUUGUGAUGUGAGCAACUUAGGAGAUAUAGAAUGGGCAAAAUAUUUUAGUUAGGAGUAAUGUGGGGGACUAUACACUUUUUGGUAUGGGGUGUGUGUAGGGGGUGGGGGGUCACAUAAGUAGACAAGUAGAUCUACCAUUGGAACCAAAUUAAAGCUUGUAAAUAUGAUAAUGAAACUGAAAAAGCCAUCCAUCCAAAGACAUUAUAGUAUUAGUUGGACAAUUUCCAACUAAGUUAAUAGCAAUGGGGCUAUAUAUAUAUAUAUAAAGUCUUCUAAUUAAAGACUUUGGACUAUGUCUUUUGCAUUAAUUCCUCUAGACCAGUCAACUUAUCUAGAUUAAAUCAUCAAUCACUAUUUUGAAUUGUGUGAUUUAUCUCUUUCUUUAUUUUUUGUGUUUUAAAUCAAUGACUAAAAAAAUUGUCUUUUUCUUGUCUUGAGGUUAUUUUUCUCUUAAGAUAUAAAUAAUCUUUGACUAUAUUGUAUAAUCGUCAAAUAUUAAAAAGAUGGGUCAUAAUCUCAUAUUCUCACUUAAUUUUUGUUCCCUUGUUUUUUUAUAGAUAAUUUUGACUACUAAGUAGUAGAGCACAUGGCAUUAAAUCAUAGGACACAUAAAUAUCUAACACAAUAUACACGAUCUUGACUAAUUGACACAAAAAUAGUAUACAUGUUAAGUUACUCUCUCCCCGUUCAAUUUUACUUGUUCACUACUUUUAAAAAUACAAUUUUCAUUUUCAGUUGUCACUUUUAACACAUCAAGAAAAGAUUAUUAUUAUUUUUUAUUGUACCCUCAACAUUAAUACUUACACACUGAUCAAAUCAUUUCUCAAGACCUAAGAUUGAAUAUAAAUUAAUGUGAGUAUUAUGAUAAACUCUCAUAUUAAUCAUUAUUUUUAAGAGAGUGUAAAAUCUAAAAUGAACGAAUAAAAAUGACCGGAUAAGUCAAUGUUUAUUUAAUUCAUACACCUGGAAUGUUUGAAUAUAUAAAUAAAUGACUUUUAAGUUUCCCUGGAAUUUAAUGAUCUUUUGUAGUGUGUCAAAAAUAAACAUGUUAAAUAUUUGAUUUUAAUUAAGUGAAGGUGCUUUCCAUGUUCUUUGACACUGUCAUAUUUCUGCAAUUUUAAUGAAAUCAUAAUCAUAUCUAAGUCUAGGUUUAAAAUAAUUUUAAAAAUAUGUACUAAAUAGUUUUGGUCCUUUAUUUAUUUUUAUUUUUAUUUUUUUGGAAAAACUAAAAAGAAAAAUGUGUUACAUAAAUUGAGACAGAAAAAGUAAUUUUUAACAAACUUAAAGGACUAAAACUAUUCAAUUCAUACUUAAAGGACUAUUUUAAAGAUGGAUUCAAACAUAAGGGACUAUUUUUGUCAUUUUCUCUUAGAUUUUUAUUUAUUUAACAACAUAACCAAUUAAACUAAAAAGAAAUUGAGAGAAAAAUGAUGAAAUUAUAAUUUAGCCACCAAAGAAUAAAGAAUGUUUUAUUCCCUUUUUCCUUUAUUUUCACAUAUUUUCACAUCUUUUAGGCAAUUUUACAUACUUUAAUUUUUAUUAUUAUUAAUUAUAGUCAACGUGGUAAAAACUUAUUCACACCUAGUGUAUACAUCAAAUUAAUGCAAUUUUCAUAGUUACAUGAUUUAAUAAAGUAAAAGUCAUGUAUACACCAGAUGUGGGUAAGUUUUAUCUGUGUUAAAAUUAUUGAAGUUAAAUUACAUUUUACUAUGUAAUACCCUCAAAGUGUUAAAGGUAUUUUGUAAAUGCCUUUCUUUAUGAUUUUUAUAAUUAUACAAAGCUACAACUUGUUCAUACUAUCCUGUUGGAAGGAAGUUGGGCUCUUGCAGAUCUCUAGUCUAAAAUUUGAAUUGAUAAUUAUUUUACGUUUGAUAGAGUCUAGUUUCAUACCAAAUUGAAAUUAUUAUUUUGUGAUAAUUCGAAUUUCAAAUAAUGAAUUUGAAAUAAGGUUUUGAUAAUUAAAUUUUUUGUACCAAUAGUCUUUUGAUUUUCUUUUUGAAUGAAUAUUUAGCAAUUAUAAGGGAUAGAAGGAUACAUAUAUAUGAGUGGUUCUUUUUUAUUAUUAUUAUUUUGAUUUUCUUUUUGAAUGAAUAGUUAGCAAUUAUAAGGGUUAGAAGGAUACAUAUAUAUGGUGGUUCUUUUUUUUAUUUUAUUAAUAUUUAUUAAAAUGCAUUAUUUCUUUUAUUUUUUCAUUGCAAUGUAACUUGGAAAUACCUUACUUUAGUAUAUUUGUUUAUUUGCUACAGAUUCUUUAUGUUUUAUGAUGUUUAUUCCCAAGGACAAAAAAAUAUAGGUGUCAAAUUAUAUCCUAUGAUAGUGGAAACAACUCAUCAAAGGAGAAGAAAAAUGGUUCAUAUUCUAAUCCAUAUAACUCUUAUCAACUUUAAUUUUUUAAAUUAAUUUGUUAAAUUAUCAACAUACUUUUAAAGAAUCUUUAUUACGGUAUAUAACAUAUCAAGCAAAAAAAAGAAUUUUAAAAUAUAUAAAAUUUUCUCAUAAAUCAAAUCAAUUUUUAAAUGGGCUUUUACUUGGACAAGUCAAAAUUCACUUUGGAACAACGUUAAUAACAGGUCGAAAUUAUAGGUUAAAAUUGACGGACACCCGUUAGUUAUGACCUAAAACGAAGUAAGAGUCGAUGGACUAAACUACAUUAAAUAGUGGGUCAGUUAAUAUUGAGAGACGUCCAUUAAUUUUUAAAAAAUUAUAACUACAACAUCACCCACCUCCAAAAUCAAUCUUAUAAAUCAGCAUCAAUAAAAAAAAAAUUCAAACAAUUUUAUAAUAACUCUAUCCAUGUGAGCUUAAAAUAUUAAUAUUGAAUGCAUUUAAACUAUUUGGACCAAAGAGGAAUGGUAGGGGACCAAACAAAAAAAUUAAUUGACUAUUCAUACAUGUUAUGUCUACUUGUUUUAGAUUUAAGGUAUAUUUGUUUUCAAAUUAUUCCUUUAUUAUCUUAAUAUUUAAAGUAUUUUAUAAAUAUUAAUUCUCAUGUAUCAUGCACAUGAUUACACUAUUUUGAGUUUUAUAAUUUGUUUGGUUAAAGUUUUAAAAUAUGCUCAUUUUAUAAGUGUUUUUGUCGUUGGUAAUUAUUGAAAAUAAAGGUCUUUCUUAUGAAGUAUUUUUUAAAAAGAUGGUUGGAGGUUAGGAUUUUUUUUUUUUUUUUUUUUUUUAAUGGAAACAACUUUUAUUUUAUUUUGUUUUACUAAUCUCUUCAAAUCCAUCAACUUAUCACACAUUAACUGUUAUUCACUCCACUCAUUACAUAUUCUUACUUUGUCAAUGGAGUACAUUAGAAGCCUUGACUUGUGUACUUCUUACUUCUUUAUUAGUAGUUUUGUUGUAAUAGUCAGGGGUGUCAACGGAACACGGUCGGUUAUUUUUUUAAAAUUACAUUAUUUUAAUUUUUUGGAUAUUUUAUAAUAUAUAAUUAAAAUCAAACAUAUUAAAAUCAUUCCAAUUAUAUUGAUUUCUCUUCGGUAUCGAUACGGUUCGAUUAACUUUCUCUUUUUUGUUGGAAAAAUUACGUGUAUAAGCAAAUAUAUACUAGUUAAUUAGUUAACAUAACUAUAGUUUACCUUAAUUAUAAUUUGUGACCUACUUUUAGCAAUAAUUACGCAGCUCAACUUUUUAGUUUUGUAUAAUUCGCACGUUUGUAUAAUUCGGAAUUUGUAUAACUUUUGUAUAAUUCAGAAUUUGUAUAAUAUAAUUUAUAUAAACAGUUUAUACUUCUGAUGUUUGUAAUUGUAUAAAUUUGUUAUUUUGAGUUUAUACAAAAAUAACUGAAUUAUACAAAUGUAUCCGCGAAUUAUACAAAUGUACUCGCAAAUUAUAUAAACCUACGAAUUAUACAAAUCCGCGAAUUAUACAAACGAGACAACUUAAACUGUAGCUACAACCCGUAAAUAUACAAACUAUAGCUAUGAAGCAUAAUUAAAUUUAUUAUAAUGGCUAUUUGUGAAAGUUCCCCCUCUUUUUUUUACUUUUAAAAUAUCACCUCAAAAUAUACUACUAUUAAUAUAUUUCUUUCACAAAUAUGUUCCUGAUGAAGCACUUUAAUUAUUCACCGAAAAGGCAAGAAUGUAAAACCUUGUUGCCGUAUUGUUAAAUAUUUAAUAGGAGUGUGUGGAUAGGUUUUGUUGUAUUGUUUGAUAGAGUAUCUAUUACAGUAUCUUUUAAUUUUCAACAUAAUUAAGUAAAGGCUAAUUAAAGAGCAAAAUCCAAAAAACCUAAGUUAUAUUUAUAUUUGAAAAAUGUUAUAAAAUAUAUCUAUAUAUUAAAUUUAACAUAUUGUUAAUAUAUAAAAUAUAUUUACAUACAUGUAAGGUUAUUCGGUUCGGUUAGGGAAUUUUUCAAUUUUUUUCAUAAAUUAAAAAGACCAUCCAAUUGUUCCGAACAGUUGUACACUUAAAUAAACAUUCACGAUUUUAUUGAAAAAAUAGCAUAAAUCGGUUUGAUUGGUUUGGUCAAUUUUUCAUAUUCUUUUGACACCCCUAUUAUAGUAAAAAGUCAAAUAGUCAAUCAACUAAAUUAUCAAAAUUUCUCUCCACAUUACUUUUUAUUUGUAAGAAAGGAGAAAAAUUAUCAAAGUGAUUUAUUUUAUGUCUUCUUAAUACUUGACCGUUUGAAUAAUAUUUAAUCAAAGUAUUUGAACUCCAAUUUUUACUCUAAUAUACAAAUGAUGAUACCCCCAAACUUACUUUUUUUUAAAACACAUUAUUACAUAGAGGUAGCAGAAAGAAAAAGGGGAGGAAAUUAUAAAGUGGGGAUUCGAAUUCUCACCAAUAAGGUGAAAAUUGUGUAGUCAACCAAUUGAACUACUUAAAUCUCCCAAACUUGUUAUUACUUCAAUAUAAAAAUGUAUGAUCAUAAGUUAUGUCAACAUACUCAUAUUGUUGAGACUUGAGAGUUGAGACUACAUAAAUAAAUCGUUAAUGAAUUCUCCUGCUUUUUGACGAAGUUUUUUUUUACCCUCUCCAUUUUUUUUUGUGUUCAUUUAGUCACUUGAACCCACAACAUUAAAGUUGGAGGUAGAAAAUGUUUAAACAUCAAUAUGAUGUUUUUCAACAAAGGUAGCAUCACAUUGAUGUUUAACAUUAAAGUUGGAGGUAGAAAGUAUUUAAACAUUAAUAUGAUGUUUUUCGACAAAGGUUGCAUAACAAUGAUGUUUAAAUAAAUUGAGUAGUUACUAGUUAAAUUAGUUAAAUUGUAUUAGAUUGUACAGUACUACAUAAAUUCAGAGAUAGUUUUUUUUUACCAUUCUAAGAUGUCUCAAAAUGGAAAGUAUUUCGUGUAAAUAAGGAAGUGUUUGACUAAGGAUAAGAUUAGGAAUGAAGAUAUUUAGGAUAAGGUGGGAGUGACCUCUGAAGUGGAUAAGAUGAGAAAAGUAAGAAUGAGAUAGUUUAGGCACGUGAAGAGGAGAUGUAGACUUCCCAAAGAAGAGGUGUGAGAAGUUGAUUAAUGGUGUGAGUCGAGAGAUGUAAAGUAUCUGAGUGUUUUCCAGCAAGAUCGACUUGGUGGUCAUACUUGUACCUAUUUUUACCAAUAGUAUUAGCACUAUUCUAUAGUUUCUUCUUCUUCUAUUUCGGUUAUCACUUGUUUUUUUUUUGCACUCGAUUAUCACACUAUUUCACUGUCAUUACUAUUCACUCUUCUAUAUGUUAUAUACUCUUCAUUUUGCUUUGUUUCAUUGAUGUUACUACUUUAAUUUCUUCAUUCUCUUUUUCAAAACUGAUUUGCAAUAAAGACCUUUGGUAAACUUCUCUAUCUCUACAAUAUAGAGAUGAAGGUCCACAUACACUGAACACUGGGUAUGUUUUUCUUUAGGCAAGUGUCAGACUAAACAUUUCUCAUUACUAACAAAUGAGGUUCAAAACAAUAGAUCCAACAAAAUAAAAGUUGAAAAGAAACUAAUGCCAACGCUCAAUAAAGCGAUUUCAGGCACAUUAAAAAAAAAGAUUAAAACUCAUCCUCAAUAGAUCAAAGUAGGCUAAGGUAUACCUCAGUCUUCACCAUUUAUGAUAUUUAUCUUGUACAAACCGAGGGGGAAAUCAAAGAAGCUACAAUGUAAACUAAUAACGAAAUAUAGCAUACAAUUCUCCAAACUGAUGACACCCUGUUGGUCAAAAGGACCAACCCUCAUCAUCAUUCUGACCAAAAAUCAGUUACCUAGACAAAUUUUCCAUGUUGCACUACAAAAUGAAGAAUGAAGUAAUCAUCAUCACAGGAUUUGGGCAGCAGUGUUUAGUUUUUCUGCGAAACUCAGUUGUGUCCUUGUGAGGCUUGCCAAGUAGAGCAAGAGCAAUUGAUCCU
rnacentral:lncRNA from 1 species